AGAUUUACUGAGGUUGUGCUUGAUCACUUCCAUAGCCAGCUCCCUAUUUUGCAUCAAGUUGUCACUCUCUGCCCAUAUUGAAUCAGGCAGUGCUGACUCAGCCACAAUUGGAGGGGAAAUCCAUAUAAUGCUUGAAAUGAGAUCAUUUUCAAUGAUGUGUGGUAAGAAGUAUUAUACCACCACUCUGCCAAGGACAACCGUCCAUGCCACUUUCUAGGUUGUUGGAAACACAUGCACCUGAGAUAGUUUUCCAAACACUGAUUUAUUCUCUCAGUUUGGCCAUCAGUUUGAGGGUGGUAGCUUGUGCUCAUGUGUAGCUUCACCUUCAUGGAUUUAAAAAGUUGCUGCCACAGGUUGCUUGUGAAGAUUCUAUCUCUAUCAGUGACAAUAACCAUAGGCAUGUCAUGCAGCUUAAAGACAUUGUCAGAAAAUGCUCUAGCUACUGUCUGAACUGAUAUAGGAUGCUUCAUGGAUAUAAAAUGAGCAUAUUUUGUGAAUCUAUCCACCACUACUAGGAUCAGGUCUUUGCUCCCAGACACAGGCAAUCCCUCAACAAAAUCCAUGCUUAUAUGUGCCCAAGCAAAAUCAGGAAUAGGAAGAGGCUCUAGUAAUCCAGGAUAUAGUGUGUGCUCUGCUUUGUUAACCUGACAGAUAGGACAACUUUUGACAAAUAGCACCACAUCUUUCUUUAAGCCUGACCAGUGAAAAACUAGCUUGACCCUGUGAUAAGUUGCUCUCUCACCAGAAUGUCCACCUAGUACUAAAUUAUGAAACACUUUCAUUAUUUCUUGUCUCAGCUCAGUAGCUUUUCCUACCACCACCUUACUUUUAUACCUCAGAAUUCCAUUACUGAAAGUAUAAGCAGUACUGUUUUCCUUAUCUACCACACAUGCAGCAAUCAACUCCUUGAUUUUAUCAUCAUCCUCAUAAAUUUUAAUAAUCUCCCUGACCCAAGUAGGUGAAACAGAUGUUGCAAUCAGAGCAGAAAGCUUAUGUUUCACCCUAGAUAAAGCAUCAGCAGCUCUGUUUUCCUUUCCUUUUCUGUAUUCCACAGUAAAGUUAUAACCGAGCAGCUUCAACAAAAGUUUAUGCUGAAUGCCCUGAGUGAUCUUUUGCUCCUGGAUGUACUUUAGACUUUCUUGAUCUAUUCUGAUUACCAAGGCAGUAGCUGCAAAGUAAUGCUUUCAUUUUUUAACUGCUUCAAUGAUGGCUAGAGCUUCUUUAUCAUAUGUAGACAUAACUGUAGCUUUUGGGCCAAUUGUCUUACUGAAAUAGGAGAGGGAUCUUCCUUCUUGCAUUAGAACAGCUCCUAAACCAUAACCACUGGCAUCAGUUUCCAAAAUGAAUGGUUUUGUGAAAUCACGCAAAGCCAGCACAGGAGUGUUAGUCAGCUUCUGCUUCAAUGUCUCAAAUGCCUUGGUUUGUUCCUGCUGCCAAUCAAAUGCAUUCUUUUUCAAACAAUCAAACAAUGGUUUGCAAAUUAUCCCAUAUCCCUGAAUAAAUCUCCUGUAGUAACCACUCAAGCCCAAGAAACUUCUUAAUUCAGUGAUAUUAGCAGGAAUAGGCCAGUCCUGAACAGUCUUAAUCUUGCAGGGAUCCGUGGACACUCCUUCUUCAUUGAUAAUGUGACCUAGAUAUUCCACUUCUUUUUUCCCAAAUGAACAUUUCUCUAUUUUGGCAUACAUCUUAUUCUUGCAGGAUCUCAAACACCUGCUUGAGGUGCUCCUUGUGCUCCUCCCAUGUCAGACUGAAGACCAAUAUGUCAUAAAAAAAAACAACUACAAACUUUAGCAGGCCAAAUAGCAGAUUCAUUAGUGCUUGGAAUGAUGGUGGGCCAUUAGUGAGCCCAAAAGACAUCACCAGAUACUAAAACAAUCCCAUGUGAGUUGAAAAAGCAGUUUUUGCUAUAUCCUCUUCUGCCAUUCUUAUCUGAUGGUAUCCUUUCUCAGGUCAAUUUUUGAGAAAUACUUUGCUCCUUUCAGCUGAUCCAAUAAAUCCUCAAUGACAGGUAUUGGGUAUUUGUUCUUUACAGUGAUAACAUCCAGCUUCCUGUAGUCAGUACAAAGCCUCCAAGAUCCAUCCUUCUUCUUUACUAGCAACACUGGAGAAGAAAAAGGGCUGGUGCUAGGCCUGAUCAAUCCUUUCUUCAGCGAGUCCAAAAUGAUUUCCUCCAGAAUUUCCUUUUGAUGAUGUGGUACUUUGUACGGCCUCUGGUUCACCACUUUUGCUCCUUCUAUGAGUGGAAUCCUCUGAUCACAGGGUCUGCUAGGGGGCAAUCCACCAGGUUCCUGAAAUAGCUUCUCAUAUUGUUGAAGUAGUGGUUGCAAAUCAUUAGGUACUUCAGUAGUUGUUAACUCAUAAUUUGCUUCACAUAUAGGAAACAGAAAGAAGCCACAUACAACUUGCUCCAUUAACCUACUAGUCUUGUCCUUGCUUUCAGUGAUCUUUUCCAAGGGGACAGUUUCAUCCACAAAUGUGAUUACUUGACCUUGUGUGCCUGCAAUCUUCAACUCCAUCUUGAUAAAAUCCAUUUGAACUGGACUAUAUUUCUUAAGCCAAUCCACUCCCAAUAUCAUAUCAUAUCCGGUCAACUUAAGGAUCCUGAAUCUGUCACAAAAUUUACUGCCCUGAGUUUCAUAUGGACAGUCUUUGACAGUAAAUUCAUUCCACAGUACCUCCCCACUAGCUACCACCACUUUCACCUUAGUGUUAGCUACAUGUGCAAUGGACAUCCUUCUUGCCAUUUCAGGAGAUACAAAUGUAGCAGUGCUACCACUGUCUACUAGAGCAGUAACUGUCACUUCCCCCACUUUCACUGACAAAAUAAAUGUGUUUUUAGCUGAAUUAAGGCCAUGAGCAGCAUGUGCUGAAACAUAUAGUACAGUUUCUGGUGCUGCUGCUUCUUGUGUGUCCAAGUCAGGGUCCUCAAAAUCUGUCACAAAUAUCACAUCUGAGUUAUCUAUUUCUUGAUUUAACAUGGCUUAAAUCUGUGCUUUCUGGCUCAUCUUGCACACCUGUCUAUGCCCUGGAACCCAUGGUUCCCUACACUUGCAGCAGACCUGGUUUUGCUUAGCUUGUUGGAUAAGUGUACUUUUUGCUAGAGGAGGUGUACUAUUCUGGCCAGGUGCUUGCUUAAAAUUCACCUGUCUCUUCACUUGUGGGAAGUAAGGCUUUGUCUGCACCACUGCAGGAGAUGGUUGUGCUUUUUUCCAUCCUCCUUGCAUAAAACACAACAGUUUGCAUAUCUUUGGGCUUGAAACACUCCACAUGACUUUUGAUGUAAGGGUGUAAGCCAGCUAUAAAGCUAGUCACAUAAUAUUCAUUGGGAAUUCCAGGGUUCUCCCUUCUCAUGAUGUUCAUCAAUUUCUCAAACUGUUCCACAUAUCUUGUCACAGUUGUUACUUGCUUGACAUCAUGAAAGGAAGUCACAAUAUGACAAACAAAUUGUACUGAGAAUCUCGUAGACAGUAAGGAGCAGAAUUUAUGCCAAGCAAUGUUACCAGGGGCAAAACCAGUACCUCUCCACCACUGCACAGCAAGUCCUUUCAAGUAAGAUAUUGCUAGUUCAGUCAUGUGCUCAAUAGGUGUUCUUGCAGCAGCAAAAUAUUGCUCUAGAUUCUGUAUCCAGGAUUCAGGAUCAUCUCCUUCAAAUUCUACCAUGUUGAGCUUAGCAGGUUUCACAGUAAGAGGGCUUCUUCUACUGUCCAUUGGGGUACUAACUCUUCUUCUAUAGUUGUUUUCAUAUCCUUCUAUCUCCUGCAAUUCUUCCUCUUGAACAACAUGCACAACCAUAGCAUUUUGACCCAUGCCCUCAGCUUUGUUAAUGCCAAAGUUUGGAUGCCUGUAGGGUUACUUCAAUGUACCAUCCAUGUUCAAUUCCCUUCUAGUUUGAUCCCUCAAUACUGCUGUACCAACUCCUCCCACAACAGCUUUUUCAGGCAUAGUCACAGAUGGUGGUGUAUCUGCUGCUAGCUGUUUUGGGCGCCCUGGUGCAAUCAUAGGUGAUCCUCCAGGGUUGUCUUUCUGCACAGCUGCUCCCUGUACUGAUGCAUGAUCAGCUGCAUCAUCUUUACCAGGAUCAGGGUCUAGUAAUAAUCUCGUGAAGUUAUCUUGGAUCUUGUCAAAAAAAUUCUGCAUUGUGAUGAAAUUCUUGUUCGCUGUUGCUUGGAACUGGUGGAAUUCCUUUCUAUCCUCAUCUCUUUCUUGCCUCAGUGACUUCAUAUCUAACUCUAAUGACUCCAGCUGGAAAGCAGCAGUUGUGGCCGACUCUGCUACUCCCGCCAUGAUCACAAUCCAACUGCUUCAAAGGGAGGGAAAAGGGAGGGAAUUUACCUAGCCCACGUUGCUCACACCGCCCCCAGCAACCUCCCUGCUCUGGAUCGAUCUCCAAACCUGGGGUUUUACCACUGCAGCAGGGUGCUCCAACAACCAGGACGAAGACCCAUCAACAUCCGCCUUCCGAUCUGAGAUCUACUAUCUUGCUGCGCCCGCCCCCUUUUUGCCGAGGAAAGACCGGGCCUUUGAUACCGAUUGUCAAGCUCUCGCUAACUACAAACAGAGUAUGAUCACGAAUAGUGGAACAGGAGCUUAAUUCAAAGGAGAAAUCGCGAGGAAAUUGGAGCUUUACUGAGAAGGAAAUGGUAAUGUAGCUCGCCACCGGCGGCUAGGGUUCAACCCUGGAUUACAACAAGCAUAAAGUUGGUAAAGGGGAAAGUUACAUGGCUUUAUAUCCAGAGGAGGAGAAGGAUGCGCGGCUACGAGCAGGAGAGGGACGCGCGACCGGCCAGGGGCUUUGUCGGAAUUUCCAUAGUGCCGCUUUAUGUCACGACCGUUGGAUCAGCGAUGAGCGGUAGAUAACGCUUCCGACACCUUCCACAGUGCAUUGAUCAUCAGGUGCUUCCUUCAGAGCCUGACAUCCGUUUGCCGCCCAAGGACAUCCUCCGCUGCCGCGCCAUCUGCAGGUGGUGGCACAACGCCACCUCCACCGACAAGUUCAUGCUGGACAACCACCGCCACCAGCCCUUGCUCCCGAUCCUCAGCCAAUUUGUCGACGCCCAGCGACACCGCCUCUUGUUUUCCUUUGAUGCUGGUGCAGGCCAGCAACAGCUCUGCCCUGUCAUGCAGACCUACUACAAUGAUAUACUCCACGCUGCCCUUGAUGGCCUCCUCAUCGUCUCCCACCGCUUCAUGUUCUUCAUCUGCAACCCGGUCACCCGCAAGUGUGCUCCCCUAGCGAAGCCUCGGACCCAACGGGUUUUUUACCCCCAGAUUGUUGGCUUCUAUCGGCACCAACCAUCUGGAGGAGAAUACCGAGUGCUUUGGGUCGCUACGGAUCCGGAAUGCUACAAGGCACAUAACACAAAUUACAGAACUUCCUACUACGUCGUAGCGGUGGGAUCUGAUAAUACACGAUACAUUGGACAAGGAUGCAUCCCACAACAAACAUCCUCGCCGCCUUCCUCGGAGCUGGUGUUACGCGGGGUCCUGGCCGCUUCGUGUGAAUAUCCACCAGCCCACCAUCGUGGCAGCAUGCAUUGGAGACUUGAAAAAUACUACGGCUGGGAUGGGAACUCCAUAAUGGUGUUCAACACAGGAGCUGAAACAUUUCGAUUGAUGUGUCGUCCUGCCCGAUUGUCCGACUGUUUUCAUGAGUCGUUGCUGGAGAUGGAUGGCACUCUUGCUUUGUGCAGCAUCCGUGGUGACAAACACACCAUAGAUGUUUGGGUGUUAUAGGAUUAUGAUGCGGAAACCUGGUCUUUCAAGCACCGGAUUAAUUUGACCGGGGUGCAUCCAUCAGCACUUCCGAAGGUGACAAUGAUCCAUAGGAUGGCUGCUCUCAGAGAGGGUGUGCUGCUGGUCCGGUUCACUUGUAGGCGUGUGUUGCAUUUUGACAUUGAUGGCAAGUUUUUAGGAUAUGUGAAGAGCAGAGAUGACCAAGAAAUCGACUUGUGGAUUACCAAGCAUUACCAGAGAGGGAGUGUUAUUCCCCUUCCACCGUCCCAUGAGAUGAGAGAAGAAGAUGGUGCAAAUCAUGAGCCUACGUUUUUCUUAGAACUGUAGGAUGCAGUGCUUGAUCUGGAUGUUCUACACUGCUGGUUUGCUGCGCCAUUGGAGUAUUUAUUCUAUACGCACCUUGUCUUUUGUUCUUAGUUGGCCUCCAUAGUGUUGCUUGUAGAAUUGAACAUUUUGGAUGGUAGCAGAGCACUUUUGCUAUCAUUAUUUGAUGUCCAUUACCAUGCCUUUAGCAUCACAUCGAAAUUCUGAACUACGGGGAAUCUUUGAUAUAGGACUACUCUAAUUUACCCCCCCUCAUUACUUUGAGUUUGCAUUAUUUAGAACCAGCGAAGGUUCUAAGAACCUCACUUGGUUGGCCCUACUGUUUUGUGUGGCGAUAUUUUUGUCGGGCAAAUUUGUAUAACUUGGUUCAGUUUUGUACUCAGUACAAUUUUAUGUCAAUUGAUAUUAUAGUAUGGUUAUUGUUAAAAAUCAAGAAUCUUAGCAAGUAAUCUUAGUUCCUUGUCUUUGACAUGUUUUGAGAAAGAAUUUCUUACUUUGGUUGUAUCUUGUAUGUUGGUGAAUUGCUAGUCUUGCCAGGGUAUUAUUUCGUGCCAUUUUUGUGUAUAGGAUUUGGUGUUUUCGGGGUAGAAGUGAUUCGGAGAUUUGCUUUUAAUUUAGAUGGUGCGUAAUUUGAUUAUUCGAUGUUUUUGUAUGUAAAUUCUUAGACCACAUGGAAAAGUCCAGCAGUUUCAAUGUUGUUUAUGUGGGUAGACAUGUAUAAUUCUGCAACAUACUCCCCUUCAUCUGGAUUAACUCUUCACAUGUUAAAUUCAGCCAUUCAGUAAUGCUUCUUUGGGUGUUUAAUCCAGCUCCAUGUAUAUCAAACUGCAUAAUAUAUUAAUCAUUUAAACAAUGAUAUAUACUCCAUCCAUGAGAUGAGAGAAGAAGAUGGUGCAAAUAUUUAACUUCAUUGCCUUUCAUCAUUUGAUAUGCCCCCUGAUUACUUGUGCAAAACGAUACAAAAUGGAGAUCUCUCUUACCGAGAGUUUUUCUCUUUUCUUGUUUGUGCAGACUGAGUUUUAAGCUUUGGGAACAGUGAUGUAAUAAAAUUCUCCCAGUCAACUUUCAUAUGGUUUCUUUUUUAAGCGAAAAUGUAUUUUUUUUGGGGCGGGGAAUGGAUGUUGAUGUGAAGUUGUGAACUGUUUGCAGAGUCCUUUAUUUUUAAGCUGCUUCUAUCCACAUGUUUUGCUGCAACACAUUUUUUUUUGAAAUUACACUGGCAGCCUGAACAAUUACUGUGAAUACAUGUGGAGUGUGAGUGGAAUACAUAGAUUUAGAUUUUACCUUCUCCCUGCUUCCUCUUCUCCCUUUUUGGAGGAAUCCAAAAUAUAUGAUGCAAUGCUUAUAAAGCAAAUAAAACCGCGAAGUGAUUCCUGGACUUUGUUUUGAAUCUUUGGAUAAAAAUGCUACUGGUAGGUACCCGUAAUAGGUUUUGGGAUUAUGUUCACGUGAAAUGAUAUUCAUCAUCAUAUGAAGUUAAAAAAUACAAUAUAUGUGAACCACACUGAACAACAUCACCCAGGACAGCCGUUUUGGCACAUAAGCAAAAGCAGCCCAUAUUUUUUUUUGUAAAUAGACCUUUAAGGUAGUCGAUUGUUGAACCAAAUCGUCGGCAUCCACCAACCACACCAUUAACAUCGCCGUCCGGGAAGACAAAUACCGCAAACCGAAAAACCAUGGGAGCACCAUCACACCAAUGCUUUGUGAGCCGAAGAAAGCACUGCUGUAGAUGACAAAGCAGCACAUAUAGUUGUGGCGUGUCGACCUGUGGUGUGAAGCCCAACCCGUGUCACCAUGGCCGUAGCAAACCACGACUUCGGGCUGCAAGCCGUCGUGCUCCUUCCCCGCUUGCCGAGUAGUAUGAUAGUGGCCUCUCUGGUGUGACAUUGAUACAUUCCUUGCAAACCUUUGGGACAGUUCUUCCACCGCCAAUGCAAGAAAUCAAUUAAUCCGAGCAUUCUUAAAAAUCCUCUGGCCUCUUCAAUAGAUAACAACUUCUUCGUGUCCUGUGCAUUUGGUUCUCUCAGAUACUCUGCUCCAAAAACCUCCAUCACACCACGGGCAAACUUGAUAGUAGUCUUUAAGCAUGUGCUCUCCCCCACCCUAACCAUCUCACCAACGACAUCUGCAGCAGUACCAAGUGCAAGCAUUCUCACAGCAGCCGUGCACUUUUGUUUGGCAGAGAAAGAGAGUUGACUGCAGCAAUCCCUUGUGAGCUUGAAGUAGUCAUCGUGUGCCUCCACUCCAUCCAAACAAUGAUUUCCGCAUGCGAAAACAGCGACAAAACCAUGGAUCAUUCCGGAAAGUUGGGUUCGGAGCAAAAUUAUCCUUUUGGAGUAGCUUUGCUCCGCAUAACCUAUCCCGAUUGAUCACUCUUCUCCCUUUGAUUGAGCCUUUAAAAUUAAGAAUAUGCUCCACUUGUCGAUCAUGUUUACUUCUUCGACCGGAUCCGACGAAUUGAAGAACUGAUCUUUAAUCAUUUGAUCAAGCUACGUCAGACCAUACUCCUCGUCGGACGAAGCAUAAUCCAUCGUUUUCCCUAAAAAAUCAUGGAAAAUCUGGUUAGACAAUGUGUCGAACACAUCCAGCGCAAGGUAGAACCAGGGAGUUGACAGACGUACCGCGGUGGCUUCCGGGCCGGCAACGACGUUCCCCGUGGCAAGGACGGAACAUAGGACUGCUCUGCCGGAGCUGGCGGGGCAAAGGCUUGGAAUGACUGCGGAGCACACGCGGCAACUAAGCGGCGAGACGAAUGAUGCGGAGGAAGAAAAGAGGAAAAAACAAAUGGAUCCAACAUUUCUGCAGGGUGGAUUUGAUGCAAUUUGCGAUGGGGUCAGGUUGUGUCCGACGUGACGAACGUGCACGGAUGCCCCCAUAUCCGCCCCACAUUUAAACUGAAUAUGAGGGGUGUCGGUUAGCCCGGGUGUUUGAGACUCGUUUGAGACGCGUGACUAGGUCAAAUUUCGUGACCGAUGAAUGACCGGAUGGCCUAUAUAUCCGGACAUAUGAGGCGGAUUUGAGGCGCCCGACUAAUGCUCUAAUGGAAGAUACAUCAUUGGAUGGAAAGGGAUCGAACGCACACCAUGCAACCGGUAUGAGGUCGCCUCGAACACAUUAUUUCCCUCUUUUUAGCUAGACCGUGCGGGGCAAAGUAUGGGUAGUUGUCGGAGUUGCCUUCCUCAUGUACACACCUAUGGUAGUUGUGUGGAUAGCGCGAAAGCAGCCCUUCUCAGUGAGAUGGGUCCAUGCCGUUGGCGUUGGAAUUGUGGGAUGAGUCAUUUUAUGGGGAUUGACGCCCACAUUCUAGAGAUGCUACAUACAAUUAUCUCUGAGAUAAUCCAGAAUCUCACCUAUCUCCUGAACAUUGGGAAGGGCUUGGUUGAGUGUGUUUUGCGUGUCAGGCUCUAGAUUGGCGAUGAAGUUGCUGUUUAAGACGGUUAGAUAGUAGCCCACACAUUUUCUUUUGCCUUUUUUCCCACUCUAUCAAGAGUGUGAGCCAUGCCGCAUUUUGUAAAGUGUGAGACAUCUAUGUGCCAUUCUGUUUUCUAGGAAAAGGAAUGAAAGGUCUGAUUCUCCUGUGACACUUGAGAUUGGUUCCAACAUUUUUUGUUGUUGUUCAUUUUGCAAAUUUGUAUCAAGUGUGCAGAGAAAAUCGGUUAUUCGCCAUUUUCAAUACCGGGCUUCGCAAAACUUUCACUGUCAACAUUGGCUUCGGAAAAAUGCCACCCAGCUCGUGGGCACUUUGAUUAACAUGCCAUUUUUCCUUUUUUCUAUUAUUUUCCUUUUCUUUUCCAUUUUCUGGCAGCUGAAAGGACCAAAGUGCUCUUAGAUCUUACAGCCUUACCCGAUGUGUUUGUGGCCUGGUUUGGAUGGAUUGCUGGUGGCUAGCACAUCCUUGUCGUCAGAUUGCUUGCAUUAUCUAUCUUCACAACUUGCAUGCACGCAUCCGUCUUCUCCUGCAACUGCUGCUGCCAACACGCCAAGAGGGCAAGCUGCGCUGGCGCGNAUUUUUCUUUUCUUUUCCAUUUUCUGGCAGCUGAAAGGACCAAAGUGCUCUUAGAUCUUACAGCCUUACCCGAUGUGUUUGUGGCCUGGUUUGGAUGGAUUGCUGGUGGCUAGCACAUCCUUGUCGUCAGAUUGCUUGCAUUAUCUAUCUUCACAACUUGCAUGCACGCAUCCGUCUUCUCCUGCAACUGCUGCUGCCAACACGCCAAGAGGGCAAGCUGCGCUGGCGCGCAUAUAGGCGUGGGCGAGCAGCUGCGGCGAGAGGCGGUGGCUCGCGCACAGGCAUCUGCCAGGCUGCACCGGCCCGUGCAGACGUGGACGAGCACCGACGGCGAGCUGCAAGCAUCAACGCGACAAGGACGAGCACCGUCGACGAGCUGCAGGGUGCAGGCAUCAUCUCGACAAGGGCGAGCAGCGGUUGCUCACACAGGCAUGGUCAAGCUAGGGCGGCGAGCCGCGAUGCUGCGCGCAGGCGUGGGCUAGCAACUGCGGCGACCGGUGGUACCUCACAUGGGCAUGGUCCAGCUAAGAUGGCGAGCCACGAUGGUGUGCAGAGGCGUGGGUUCGCAACAGUGGUAGUCGGCAGUGUCCAACGAUUGAAGCAAGACGUGCAGGCGAUCAGGGAUGCGGCAAGCACGAACUCAUCCGCUUUAAGCGCUCUUAUCUGAUGCUAAAUACGUGAAGAUAGCAGUAGAUAUCACCAGGGAUACUUUGGUUCUUUCAGGUGUCAGAAAAUGGAAAAGAAAAAGAAAAUCAAUGAUGAAAAAAGGCGAAAUGGCUUCUUAAUCAAAAUGCACACGAGUUGGGUGGCAUUUUUACGAAUUCAAUGUUAAAAGUGACAAUUUUGCGAAGCCCCGUAUCGAAAAUGGCAAAUAGCCAAUUUUCUCGAGUGUGCAAAAGUCGAAUAAAAAUGGCAAGGAAAUCAGAAGAACUAGCAGUGACAUGGAAACCAAAGGGCUGCUUUUUUUUGUUGCGUGGGAAAAAAAGGCCUACUUUUUUUGUUGCGAGGAAAAGAAAGGCCUACUUGCAAGCAAGCAAGCAUGCCUCCCAUGGAUUUCACAGGGUGCACUCUUUUGCAAAUCAACAUCCUCGUUUCUGCUGCAGGAUGUCGCUUGAUGCUCAUGACUCCCUGACAUCUUCCUUUUCGCCAUUAUCUCCGCAAGCCCUUAAUGAAUUUCUUGGCUAAAUGAAAGCGUUGCAACUGCAAUUUCAAGAAAAGAAAAGGAAGGGUUGUAACUGCUAAAAGUUCCAAAAAUACUCCCUGACAUCUUCCUUUUCGCCAUUAUCUCCGCAAGCUUUUAAUGAAUUUCUUGGCUAAAUAAAAGCGUUGCAACUGCAAUUUGAAGGGAAAAAAAAAAGAAGCGUUGCAACUGCUAAAAAUUCCAAAAAAGUUGGAGAAGUGGGGUAUCGAUCCCCAUACCUCUCGCAUGCUAAGCGAGCGCUCUACCAUCUGAGCUACAUCCCCUCAUGCUGUCUAAAAAAUAAGAAAGUUUUACUACUUUUAACUAAUUUACGUGUCAUAGUUUAUUAAGGAAAUGAGAAAACGUAAAUUGUUAUUAAGUGGAUCAAUAUGCCAUGCUACCCACCGAGCAACACGAGAUUUCUUAACCAGCUCAUCUCCUAGUGUAUCCGACUCCCCACUACCAGAAAAUAAACCUUCGCCCUCAUUACAUCUUCAGCUAAGUUUGCGCAUUCAUACAAAAAUGGCAGGGCCAUUUGAUCUGUCACCGUUAUUCAUAACUUCAAUCAGGGUGCAGUCCGAUUCGAAGAUGACCCGCUUGAUUCGUACGCACAAUGUUCAUGUGAGUGGUGUGUUCGGCUAGCUGCAUUCUGCGCAACAAUGAAACUCCAGAAACUAGAUAGCAUCUCUUCUGGUUCUGCAGCUUUGGCGAUAGAUGCUCGAGCCCGGAGGUCUAUCAAUCUCCAACUGCCCAAGCUGAGUUCAUGCAAUGGGGAACUUGUUUAAAAAAAUGGAUUAGGGUGAUCAUCUCAAAAAAUAAUAAGUACUCGUAUAAAUGUUUCCUCCUUCUGACCUUAAUUAAAGACAUAUCCUUCCGUGGUCGAACGCCCUUGCACACAAGUAGGCCGGAGGUGAUCUUGCUUUUCUUUUAAAAGACUAGAUGUAAGUAAGCAACAUCAUUGUAUAGACAUGGCAGUAUUUUUUUUUGCUUCAAUACUAGUUGUUUUUAUCCACAACUGAUUUACUUGCAUCAUGUUAACCGAACACAAACUUGCAUCCGAACCGAUAGUUUUCCACAACAGUGUGUGUGUGCGCGCACACNCACCGCACCGCGGGAGACAGGAGAGUCAGAAGGGAACUAGGGUUGGGGGAGGUGAGCCGAAUUGAGGAAAUCGGGAGGGGGAAAAAGGAGAAUGCUUCACCUGGUCGCCGGCGUUGCCGCCGCGCUCGUGCUCCACUCGCCCGCGGUCCUGGAGUUUCGGGGCCGCCCGUGUCGCUGCAAGGCGGUGGAGACGCGCCGCGCCGCCCGCGGUCGCCGAAUUCUUGGCGUGGUCGCCGGCUCGCCGCCCUUGGUCGGCUUGGUGUGAAUGGCCGGCGGCACUGCGACCCUCCUCCUCUGCUCCCUUUUCUUUCCUCCACUAUACGGGACGCAGCUUCAGUGACUUGAUCAACGCAAGUCUCACUCUAAGGCCCCGUUUUUUAAAAUGUCCUAAGACUUUUUUUUAGUCUCAACUAAAAAUUCUCUACUCUUUAUCCGUUUCUUUGCAAGGACUAAACAUAGACUAGAGGUCAUUAAAUGACAUGCAAAAAGACCAUGUUACCCCUAGUAAUAUACUAGAAGUUAUUAAAUUACAUGCUAAAACUAGGGGCACUGUUGGAAAAAGUGCCAAAAAAGUUUUAAAUAGUCCCUCCCAUACGGACUUCUCCUUUAGUUCCAAAUACCCCUUUUAGUCCCUAAAAGUCCCUCCUGUUUUUUCACAUGGGACUAAAAAUGACUUUUUUUUAGUCCCUACACCAAAAAGUCCCUGGAAAGAAACACCCCUAACUUAGCCUCCUCUAUCAAUCAUCCGAUAUAGAUCCGACGUACCAUACUGAUUCAAAUUUUAAACAAAUUUUUUAGAAGUGUUUAUUUUUUUUGAAAAGAAAUCAAUAAAUCAUAAAUAUUUUGUUUUGUAUUAUGCGAAAAUUUCAGUCCAUUUAAAUGUAUCAUUUAUGAAUAAACAAUAUUUAUUUAUUUGACCUCAAAAGGCUAUUUAAUCACAAUCGAUACAUUCAAGUGGACUGAAAUUUUCACAGAAUACAAAAUGAAAUAUUUAUGAUUUAUUGAAAAAAACAUUUUUUNNNNNNNNNNNNNNNNNNNNNNNNNNNNNNNNNNNNNNNNNNNNNNNNNNNNNNNNNNNNNNNNNNNNNNNNNNNNNNNNNNNNNNNNNNNNNNNNNNNNNNNNNNNNNNNNNNNNNNNNNNNNNNNNNNNNNNNNNNNNNNNNNNNNNNNNNNNNNNNNNNNNNNNNNNNNNNNNNNNNNNNNNNNNNNNNNNNNNNNNNNNNNNNNNNNNNNNNNNNNNNNNNNNNNNNNNNNNNNNNNNNNNNNNNNNNNNNNNNNNNNNNNNNNNNNNNNNNNNNNNNNNNNNNNNNNNNNNNNNNNNNNNNNNNNNNNNNNNNNNNNNNNNNNNNNNNNNNNNNNNNNNNNNNNNNNNNNNNNNNNNNNNNNNNNNNNNNNNNNNNNNNNNNNNNNNNNNNNNNNNNNNNNNNNNNNNNNNNNNNNNNNNNNNNNNNNNNNNNNNNNNNNNNNNNNNNNNNNNNNNNNNNNNNNNNNNNNNNNNNNNNNNNNNNNNNNNNNNNNNNNNNNNNNNNNNNNNNNNNNNNNNNNNNNNNNNNNNNNNNNNNNNNNNNNNNNNNNNNNNNNNNNNNNNNNNNNNNNNNNNNNNNNNNNNNNNNNNNNNNNNNNNNNNNNNNNNNNNNNNNNNNNNNNNNNNNNNNNNNNNNNNNNNNNNNNNNNNNNNNNNNNNNNNNNNNNNNNNNNNNNNNNNNNNNNNNNNNNNNNNNNNNNNNNNNNNNNNNNNNNNNNNNNNNNNNNNNNNNNNNNNNNNNNNNNNNNNNNNNNNNNNNNNNNNNNNNNNNNNNNNNNNNNNNNNNNNNNNNNNNNNNNNNNNNNNNNNNNNNNNNNNNNNNNNNNNNNNNNNNNNNNNNNNNNNNNNNNNNNNNNNNNNNNNNNNNNNNNNNNNNNNNNNNNNNNNNNNNNNNNNNNNNNNNNNNNNNNNNNNNNNNNNNNNNNNNNGUGUGUGCGCGCACACACCGGCUGAUUGCAGCUGAGCUGAAGACUGAAGGAGACAUUGGUCCUCAUGUAGGAUGUAGCUACCCUUUCUCUCGAAAAAGGCUUUGCCAAUCCCAUCAGACAGCUGAUUGCAAGAUUUCAAGCAUUAUAAACACCUUUCGUGCUUGACAGAAUCAACAUCCUACAUGUACAAUAUGUUAGAAUCCCAUCAUCAGUAUUUUGCAUGAUAUGCUGCAAGAUCUUUUUUAUUUCUUGCAACAUAUAGGCAUCUCUGCAUUUAACUUCCAGAACUAACACAAAAAAUACCUCGGGUUCCACAUAAUUGGAAAGAUGACUUUUUAUUACUGUCUCUCUUUAUAGUACCACAACUAGUAAUUUACAUCCAGAAUGCUACAGGAUCAAAUGACAAGAGAUGUUUAGACACUAGAGUGUCGGUGGUGCGAUGGAUCUUGGUGUGCAGCUCUCCCUUUCGAUUGUACUUGGGGCUAAACAUGAUGAGACGGAGCACACAACCAUCAUGAUCACCAAAAGCAUCCUCGCACUCCAUGUCCUGGCGUACACCGCACUCGACGAGGCAGAAUUGGGUGUCUCCCAUGUAAGUAAGGGUGGCCCCUAAGUGCCUCUCAGAUUCCCUGCAGAAUAACUUGUCCUUGGAUAUCUUCCAGUCUGGCUGCACAGUACUUGUGCCGCUGCGUGAUGCAACCUGGCAGGUGCAGAUGUAGCCAUCAAAAUGAAGCCCAACCCAUGCAUCAAGGUCGCUGUCAAAGUAGCCUUGGCCUUCGAACGGCAGCACCCAUUUCCCAUGCCACCUCCACUUGCAAUGCCUGGCGUCAAAUGAGUAGGUGCCCCUGGCGAGACUUAGAUUAUGCCUGUCGUGCGUAGACAUGAAGAUGGUAUGUCCGUCGGGAUGCAGCGCAUAUGAGGUGAUAUUUUCGUCCUCGUGAAGCGGAGGCGGAGACGGCACGCUCUUCCAGGACCAGUCCAUCCUCGGCUUUGUAGACCGUUGCUCCUCGUUGCAGUUGCAAUUGGGUGCCCGCGACAACACCUCAAAAGCAUGUUGCUGCUCCCCACACAUAGGGAAAGCUGAUAAUCCAUAGAGCCCAUCAGCAGCCGCCACCGAGAUAUCAAAGCAACCGACCAAUGGAGCCGGAAGGCGAGGGCCCAUCCGCCCAUGGUGAGUCCCCCUGUCUCAGUGUUGUACACGAGUAUGGGAGUUUGACCACAACGUGGGGCGGUGACUAUGAAGAUCUCGCUGCCUAGGGCGGUGGGAUAAAGUUCUCGUGCCCCCAACCGGAGGGUAGCAGCAGGCUCAGGGAAGCCAACCUGUUCUUGGGUGGCGUCCUCGUCUUGCAAAGUGUCUGCGUCGAUUUUGUGCAUGCUGUAGCCCUCCUUCCAAUCAUCGAGAAACAGAUAGAGAUGCUUCUUGGGCACAAGACGCGGCCUUUUGCCGGUGCUGCGAUCGCCGCUGUGGCCCUGGAUCUGGGGCUUACACAUGUCUCCGAUCGAUCUUCCGGUUCAGUUUUUUGAUUCUGAUGGUGGAGGAAAACUUAUACUGCAGACAAAGGAAAGGAGACGACAAGCGCGUACUGUAAUCCAGAUAUCUGAUCCGGCGACCAAGUGAGAGGCAUUAGAUCCCUCCCUCCUCUUGCGUCUUUUGCUUAUAUAGAAGGAUGAGAGGCUGCGGCUGACUAAUCGAAUCCGAGAAAGGCAAGGGCAGAGUACCUGCCAGUAGUCCUAGUCGGAGACGAAGCCACCGCACCGCGGGAGACAGGAGAGUCAGAAGGGAACUAGGGUUGGGGGAGGUGAGCCGAAUUGAGGAAAUCGGGAGGGGGAAAAAGGAGAAUGCUUCACCUGGUCGCCGGCGUUGCCGCCGCGCUCGUGCUCCACUCGCCCGCGGUCCUGGAGUUUCGGGGCCGCCCGUGUCGCUGCAAGGCGGUGGAGACGCGCCGCGCCGCCCGCGGUCGCCGAAUUCUUGGCGUGGUCGCCGGCUCGCCGCCCUUGGNNNNNNNNNNNNNNNNNNNNNNNNNNNNNNNNNNNNNNNNNNNNNNNNNNNNNNNNNNNNNNNNNNNNNNNNNNNNNNNNNNNNNNNNNNNNNNNNNNNNNNNNNNNNNNNNNNNNNNNNNNNNNNNNNNNNNNNNNNNNNNNNNNNNNNNNNNNNNNNNNNNNNNNNNNNNNNNNNNNNNNNNNNNNNNNNNNNNNNNNNNNNNNNNNNNNNNNNNNNNNNNNNNNNNNNNNNNNNNNNNNNNNNNNNNNNNNNNNNNNNNNNNNNNNNNNNNNNNNNNNNNNNNNNNNNNNNNNNNNNNNNNNNNNNNNNNNNNNNNNNNNNNNNNNNNNNNNNNNNNNNNNNNNNNNNNNNNNNNNNNNNNNNNNNNNNNNNNNNNNNNNNNNNNNNNNNNNNNNNNNNNNNNNNNNNNNNNNNNNNNNNNNNNNNNNNNNNNNNNNNNNNNNNNNNNNNNNNNNNNNNNNNNNNNNNNNNNNNNNNNNNNNNNNNNNNNNNNNNNNNNNNNNNNNNNNNNNNNNNNNNNNNNNNNNNNNNNNNNNNNNNNNNNNNNNNNNNNNNNNNNNNNNNNNNNNNNNNNNNNNNNNNNNNNNNNNNAAAACAUUUUUUUAAAAACAUUUUUUUAAUUUUUUUUCGAUAAAAUUGUUUAGAAUUUGAAUCAAUACGAUACGUCGGAUCUAUAUUGGAUGGCUGAUAGAGGAGGCUAAGUUAUAGUGAGACUUAGCUUCACCAAGUCACUAAAGUUGCGUCCCACUAUACCAGAUUUUCCUGGACCAAACGAAAGAAGGGGACGGACAGGCUCCACGGUCAGGCUUUUAUAAUUGGGAGAUGCUAGGCGUCCACCGGCGAAUUCAUACUAAACAUCUGCCACUCGAAUGGUCGUUCGAUGUACGCGUCGCAGCCGUCCGAUCUACCUCCUCGCAUGCGGCUUGGCGCCUUCCUCAACCAAUUAAUUCCUGAAGCAAUGGUCCAGUUGCAGAAACAAGCUCGUUGUCCCGGUCCAGAAAGACCUGCGUCCAGCACGGCGCCGCUCGUAACACGUCGUAAUAUUUGCAAUAUGGAUCAAAAGAUGUUGUAAUGUUUGCAACAUGUCGUAAUUUUUGCAACAUGGGUCAGAAGAUGACGUAAUUUUUACAACGGGUUAGAAAAUAAAAAAAGAAGUUUCUGCAACACGAUCGUUGUUUUAAGAAUUGUUUCUGCAAUACGACUGUUGUUUCGGAAAUUGUUUAUGCAACACGGUCGUUGUUUUUGCAACUGAUUUGUUGUUUCAAGAAUUAAUCUGUCAUAAGAAAACUCAAAUCCAGCCGCUCACCCUCUGAAAGUGCGUUAUAUCGACUAGAGGGGGGUGAAUAGGAGAUUUUUUAGAAUUUCAUCACCGAGGAAAUACCUUGUGAGGAAAGUCCUCAGUUAUGAACUGAGUGCAGCGGAAGUAGUACAUGAUCGGGUGUGCAAAAACGUCUACAACCAAGUACUCAAUGAGAUUUAAGAGAUUCGGUUUGCACAAUUCAUAAGUAUGGAGUAAGCGGGUGAAGACUAACUCAAGUGAAGAAUUUGAGGUUGAGGAAAUUCAGAGAAAGUCUUCAGACAAAUUCUUCAAAUAGUACAGAUGAAAGUCUUCAACAUAUAAUUGAGGGAAUAAAAGAGUUGAAGAAAUAGAACCCGUAGCUCGAUGAAGAAAGUUGUUGAUGACACAGUUCCAACUGUUGUGAUAGGUGUACGUCUCGUUCAGAGCGGUGAUACGUCUCAAACGUAUCUAUAAUUUCUGCUUGUUCCAUGAUCUUUUGGGAUACAUUGUUAUAUGUUUUGCUACACUUUUAUAUCAUUUUACACAUAUUUGGACUAACAUACUAACUCAGUGCAUCCAGUGCCAGUUUCUGUCUGGUGUCUUUUUGCAGGUACUUUUACCCCAAUUUUCUGAAGCCCGAAAAAAUCCAGAAUAUAUAUAUAAAAAAUCAGCGAAACAGAAGCUUCUGAAUCACCGAAGGAGGGCCAGGGGCCUCCCAGGUGGCCUGCUGGCGCGGCCAGGCCCUAGGCCACGCCAGGAGGUCGCCUGGGUGGGUCUCACCUCCUCCGGUGCCCUCCUUUGGCCUAUAUUUAGAGUCCAGAGAGGGAACCCUCGCAAACUUUCUAUAAUCGCGAAUUUCUCCAUCGUUCCACCGCCGCAGCGCUUUCGAGAUCGGGAGCGUCAGGAGACCUCUUCCCGGCACCCUGCCGGAGGGAGGAUUGACCUCUGGGAGCUUCUCCACCAUCAUGGACGCUUCCCGGACGUGCCGUGAGUAGUUCCCUCUCGGACCAUGAGUCCAUGACCAGUAGUUAUGUGAUGUCUUCUCUCCAAUGUUGUGCUUCGAUGGUUAGUCCUUGUGAGCUAACCUACAUGAUCAAGGCAUCUAUGUAAUUCUCUUGCUAUUGCUAUGCUAGGUUUUGUUGGGAUCCGAUGGAUUAUGAGAUUAUGUUCAUACUGUUAUGAGUUAUAUAUUUGAUUAUCCUUUUAUAUUAUGUUCCUUAGUGAUUCAUGCAUGUUCUCCGUUGCUUUUUAUUGCUUUGGCCAAGUAGUAGAUCGUAACUCCAAGAGGGAGCGUUAUGCAUGAUUGUGGGUUCAGGCCCCUCGAUGUCUAGCUUGAGUGACAGAAACAUGAGACUAGGGGAUGUGCUUGUUGCCACCAGGGAGAAAACAACGGUGCUUGUGACCACAGUUGCAAGGAUUGUUUACCUUACGCAUAGUUCGUUAAUGCAGUUGUCCGUUGCUUUUAGUUUACACUUUGGGUGGGGCUCGCAACUUAAUACCGGAGAGAUGUUCUGGAUAGAUAUCUCAAGGUGGAUGAUUAGUAAGUAGAGGCUGAUGAAUAAACGGUUUACUUGUCUUGGCGUACUGUCCAUUACUAUUGAACCUCUAACUAUCAAGGAGCAUAAUUAGCAUUGCGGUGCGAUCAUAAUUCUGUCAAUUUCCCAACUAUGAUUUGUUUACCCCAGCAUAGUUGUUUAUCGUCUUUUGGGAGAGAGACAUCACUAGUGAACGUCAUGUGACUCCGGUCCAUAUCACCAUCAUUGUUUACGGCUCCAUCAUUUACCGCUUUCAUUUACUUUUCCAUUGCAAUCACUAUUACUUUCCCACUUGUGUUUUGAUCCUUUGCAAACUACAAGGCCGGAGAGAUUGAAAACCUCUAAGUACGCGUUGGGAGCAAAGUUAUUUGUUGUGUGUCCAGGUCCACGUCUUCUGCUAGCGCCAGGGUGGAAGACACCUACUUGUUGAGCCUAGGAGUCCUCCUGGUUCGAUAAACCUUACAGUCUCCGUGUAAGGAAAAUUUGCUGCUGACUACAUCUCCAUCUUCCAUUUGGGGUAACCAACGAGGGGCGAGAAGUAUAUACAUCAACUCGUCAUCAAGCAAAUUUUUGGCGCCGUUGUCGGGACUCAGGUCUUCAAGAUAGGGGAGUUGCACACUAUCUUUUACCUUUGCUUUUUAGUCUUGUUAGUUUUCUUUUUAGUUUUUGCUUUAGAGACUUAUACCAAAAACCACAAAAAAAUUAGUUACUUUGUUCUUGCUUGUUGCCGCUGCUAUGGGUUCCACUGAGAACACCAAGUUGUGUGACUUCACUAGUCACAACCACAAUGACUUUAUCUGCACUCCUAUUGCUUCUUCCGCCACUGGAGCCACGUCCUAUGAGAUUAAACCUGCUUUACUGGACCUAGUUAUGAAAGAUCAAUUCUCCGGUGCUAGAGAUGAUGCUGCCUUGCACUUGAACAAUUUUGUUGAGCUCUGUGAUAUGCAAAGAUAUAAAGAAGUAGAUGAUGAUAUUGUUAAACUUAAGCUUUUUCCUUUCUCUUUGAGACGAGGAGCUAAAGUGUGGCUUCAAUCUUUGCCUAGGAAUAGCAUAGAUUCUUGAGAUAAGUGCAAAGAUGCUUUUAUUGGGAAGUAUUACCCGCCUGCUAAGAUUAUCCAAUUGAGGAGUAACAGUAUGAAUUUUAGGCAAUUGGAUAAUUAACAUGCUUCUCAAGCUUGGGAACGUAUGAAAUCUCUUGUUAAGAAUUGCCCUACACAUGGUUUGACUACUUGGAUGGUUAUCCAAACUUUUUAUGCAGGAUUGAACUUUACCUCGCGGAAUCUGUUAGAUUCGGCCGCAGGAGGAAUGAUACAUCUCCAACGUAUCUAUAAUUUUUUAUGGUUCCAUGAUAUUAUCUUGUCAAACUUUGGAUGUUUUGUAUGCCUUUUUAAUCUUUUUUGGGACUAACUUAUUAACUCAGCGCCAAGUGCCAGUUCCUGUUUUUUCCGUGUUUUUGACCCUUUUCAAUGGAGGAUUUUAAACGGUGUCCAAACGGAAUAAAACUUCCAAAAAUAUUUUUUCCGGAAAACAAGAUACACGUCAGACUUGAGAACCAAGGCAGGGGCCAGUAGGGGACCCCACAAGCCCCCUAGGCGCGGCCAGGGGGCCGCGCCUAGCAUGCUUGUGGGCCCCGUGUGGCACGUCUGCCCUGCCUCUUCUGCCUAUAAAUCUAGAAAAAUUCCAAAACUGCAGAAGAGAUCAACGAAAAUACUUUUCCGCCGCCACAAGCUUCUGUCUCCGCAAGAUCCCAUCUGGGGCACGUUCUGGGGCCCUCCCGGAGGGGGGAUUCGGAUAUGGAGGGCUUCUUCAUCAACACCAUGACCUCUCCGAUGAUGCAUGAGUAGUUCACCAUAGACCUUCGGGUCCAUAGCUAGUAGCUAGAUGACUUCUUCUCUCUCUUGGAUCUUCAAUACAAAGUUCUCCAUGAUCUUCAUGGAGAUCUAUCCGAUGUAAUCUUAUUUUGCGGUGUGAUUGUCGAGAUCCGAUGAAUUGUGGAUUUAUGAUCAGAUUAUCUAUGAAUCUUAUUUGAGUUUCUUCUGAUCUCUCUUAUGCAUGAUUUCAUAUCCUUGUAACUCUCUUCGAGUUGUGGGUUUUGUUUGGCCAACUUGAUCUAUGAUUCUUGCAAUGGGAGAAGUGCUUGGUUUUGGGUUCAUACCGUGCGGUGACCUCACCCAGUGACAGAAGGGGUAGCGAGGCACGCAUCGUGUUGUUGCCAUCAAGCGUAAAAAGAGGGGGGGGGGUUCAUCAUUGGUUUGAGUUUAUCCCUCUACAUCAUGUCAUCUUGCUUAAGGCGUUACUCUGUUCGUCAUGAACUCAAUACACUAGAUGCAUGCUGGAUAGCGGUCGAUGUGUGGAGUAAUAGUAGUAGAUGCAGAAAGUAUCGGUCUACUUGUCUCGGACGUGAUGCCUAUAUGUAUGAUCAUUGCCUUAGAUAUCAUCAUGACUUUGCGUGGUUCUAUCAAUUGCUCGACAGUAAUUUGUNNNNNNNNNNNNNNNNNNNNNNNNNNNNNNNNNNNNNNNNNNNNNNNNNNNNNNNNNNNNNNNNNNNNNNNNNNNNNNNNNNNNNNNNNNNNNNNNNNNNNNNNNNNNNNNNNNNNNNNNNNNNNNNNNNNNNNNNNNNNNNNNNNNNNNNNNNNNNNNNNNNNNNNNNNNNNNNNNNNNNNNNNNNNNNNNNNNNNNNNNNNNNNNNNNNNNNNNNNNNNNNNNNNNNNNNNNNNNNNNNNNNNNNNNNNNNNNNNNNNNNNNNNNNNNNNNNNNNNNNNNNNNNNNNNNNNNNNNNNNNNNNNNNNNNNNNNNNNNNNNNNNNNNNNNNNNNNNNNNNNNNNNNNNNNNNNNNNUUUAUCCCUCUACAUCAUGUCAUCUUGCUUAAGGCGUUACUCCGUUUGUUAUGAACUUAAUACACUAGAUGCGUGUUGGAUAGCGAUCGAUGUGUGGAGUAAUAGUAGUAGAUGCAGAAAGUAUCGGUCUACUUGUCUCGGACGUGAUGCCUAUAUGUAUNUCGUCAUGAACUCAAUACACUAGAUGCAUGCUGGAUAGCGGUCGAUGUGUGGAGUAAUAGUAGUAGAUGCAGAAAGUAUCGGUCUACUUGUCUCGGACGUGAUGCCUAUAUGUAUGAUCAUUGCCUUAGAUAUCAUCAUGACUUUGCGUGGUUCUAUCAAUUGCUCGACAGUAAUUUGUUCACCCAUCGUAUUAUUUGCUAUUUUGAGAGAAGCCUCUAGUGAACAUUAUGGCCCCCGGGUCUACUUCACACCAUAUUUCCAGCCUUACAAUUUUACUUCGUUGCACUUUCCGCCUUCAGAUCUCACUUUGCAAUCAAUCUUGAAGGGAUUGACAACCCCUUUAUAGCGUUGGGUGCAAGCUCUUUUGUGUUUGCGCAGGUACUUUGGAUUUGAUGCGAUUCUCCUACUGGAUUGAUACCUUGGUUCUCAAACUGAGGGAAAUACUUACUGCUCCUGUGCUGCAUCGCCCUUUCCUCUUCAAGGGAAAAACCAACGCAAGCUCAAGAGACGACAAAAGGAUUUCUAUCGUCGUAGCAAGGAACCUUUAUGUCAACUACACUUGAUGCUGCCACAAAGCUAUUGGAUGAGAUGAUGACAAAUUAUUCUCAAUGGCACACCGAGAGAGCUUCAACAUGAAGGAAGGUAAACUCUCCUGAGGAGAUCUCCUCCCUUAAUGAUAAGGUUGACAUAAUCAUGAUCUUACUUACUAAGCAAGCUCCUAUUGAUCCUCAUGAUGUUCCUUUAAAUUCUUUGGUUGCUCAAGAAAGAGAGCAAGUGUAUGUUAAUUUUAUCUCUAGGAACAACUUUAAUAACAAUGCUUAUACGAGUAAUUUUGGUAGAAAUCCUAGACCGUUCUCAUCCGACAACUACGGGAACAACAACAAUUAUCCUAGCACCAAAAACUCCACUUCUGAAUUAGAGGGCAUGCUUAAAUAUUUUAUCACUUCUCAAAAAGCCUUCAACAAGAGUGUAGAGGAGAAACUAGAAAAAUUAGAUAGUCUCUCUUUGAAGGUGGACAACAUAGCUCAUGAUGUAGAGAUGCUUAAAAUCAGAACUUCCCCACUCGAGGAAAGGAACACCACACCCAUGAAUGCUAUCCAAGUCCAAAUUAAUGAGAACAUAAGAAUGCUAGCCAAACUUAAAGAGUGAUGGGCUAGAGAAAAGGAAGAGGAAGAGAGCAUUAAGAGCCUUCCUACACACACUACCAUUGCUACUAUACAAGUUGUUGAGGAUCUCAAAACUUUUAGCACCCAUCGCACUCCUAGUCCCAGUGGACCUAUUAAUGGUGAUGCUAAUACCUCAACUAUAGGACAAGAAAGUUCUUUGAAUUUAGAGACUACCAAAAGAAUGAGUUUAUAUGACAUUACUACCACUUUAAUUAAUCGUAGUAACCUUGAUUUUGACAAUUGUAGUCUCUCCGAAGUUAUCACCUUUUUGCAAAGAAUGGCUAAAGAUCCCCACACUAGUACACUCAAUAUUGCCUUCACUGAGCGUAUUACCAAUGCUCUUAUCAAAGCUAGGGAGGAGAAGCUCAAGCUAGGGACUUCUAUCCCUAGAAAACUAGAAGAUGGUUGGGAUCCUAUGGUCAAGAUUAAAUUGAAUAAUAUCUCUUGCUUUGCAUUGUGUGAUGUUGGAGCUAGUGCCUCCGUUAUGCCCAAAAAAAUGUAUGAUAUGCUUGAAUGGAAACCUUAUGAUCUAUGUUCUUUUGGUGUUCGUCGUGUUGAUUCUUCCAUAAAGAAACCUUUAGGGGAAAUUGAUGAUGUUCUUAUUAUUGUCAAUGAUAAUUAUGUGCCCGUUGAUUUUCUUAUUAUGGAGAUUGAAUGUGAUCCUUCAUGUCUAAUUAUUUUGGGACGUUCUUUUCUCCGCACCGUUGGUGCUAUCAUGGACAUGAAGGAGGGCAUUAUUAAAUUCCAAUUUCCUAUUAAAAAGGAAAUGGAAUACUUUCCUAGAAAGAAGAUUAAGUUAUCUUAUGAGUCCGUUACACGGACAAGCUAUUCUUUUGGAGUUGAUAACACUUGAUCUUCUUGCAUUAUGCCUAGCUCAAAGGCAUAAAAGAAAACGCUUGUUGGGAGGCAACCUAAUAUGAUUUUACUUUAUGUUUUAGUUGUCUUGAUGUGUGUUACUACUGUAGCAACAUCAUUGUAUCUUUUAUUUUUAAGCUUUGUGCCAAGUUAUAGCCUUCGAUUGCAAGAAAGAUCAAGAAUUGUGACAUGCUGUCUAGAAACAGAUUCUGUCUGCAUGACGGAAAAUUCGCCAAAAAUCACCAGAUCAUCCUUUUGUUCUGAAUUGUUUUGACAACAUGCUCUAUGUAAUUUUAUUUCUGGCAUCUGUUCUGAGUUUUUUUAUUUGAGUUGCAUAAGUGUCCCGAAUAAAUUAUUUACUACCUGUUGUUCUGUUUUUCAUAGAUUCUGCCAUGUUUUGUGUUUUCAUUGUUUUGCCAAUCCUAAGCUUGAUUUUUAUUUGCAAAAAUCUUUUGGCAUUCAUUAUAACCAGUAGCUUUUCAUGAAAAUCUUUAUUUCCAGCAUGUAUUGAAUUUUUUUAUUAAGGAUACUAACCACUCUAAUCAGCUUAUGAUAAAUUUCGUAUGAAGGGAGUUUUCAAGUAUGCGAUGGGAGAGAUGAUGAAAGAAGAUACAGGAGUGUCAAGCGCUCAAGCUUGGGGAUGCCCCCAUACAUACCAAGAAAUAUUCAAAGAAGACUCAAGUGUCUAAGCUUGGGGAUGCCCCCGUGCAUCCCCUUCUCUAUCAACAAUCAUGAGGUCGUCCAUCUUCAUGCUAUAUUUUUAUCACUUCAUAUGAUAUGUGCUAUGCUUGGAGCGUGCCGCUAUUUGUUUUUUAGUUUGUUUUAGUUUUGCUUGUUGUUCAGAACAAGUCGGAACCUAGCCUAUGUUGUUUGGGAGAGACACACGCUCCAUUCCACUCUAGAGCACAACAUUGGUCUUCAUGCUUAUCUUUUUGUGUGUUCUUUAUCUUUUUGUAGCUACUGUCAUGCUUAGCUCUUAGUUUUCAUGCUUAUAUUUUUAAGAGAUUUUAUUUAGGUUGAUUUUGGAACUCUCUUGAGUUAUCAUGCUUAUCUUGUUUAGAGAGUUGGCUUGUUGCACUGAGUUGUGUGUCUUGCAUGAGUAGGUAAUUGAGGUUGCUAUUUAAGUAUACUAGUAACUUGCAAUAGUUUUGAGGUAUUGAUUUGAGUAAUGUUUGAACUACUAGUGCCAAGAGCUUGAUCCUAUUAGUGAUAGGUGUCGUAUUUUGGGAAAUCCGUGUGUUUUUCAAAAACUAAAAAUUAGUUGAGAACUCUAGCUACUAAAUUGAUCGCUAACCUCUAGAGGGGUUGGAAUAUAUGGAGUACCCUCACGUUACCAUGAGUCGAGGAUGCGCAAGGAUAACCAAACCCCCAAACACUCCUCCUCGGGGUACUCGUCUCUUUGUGAAUUUCCUAACUAGAUAGAGUGUUAUCGAUAAUAAGUGUAUGAGUUAUUUGGAUUAAUGUGAGUAUUCGAUUGUUGGCACUUCCACCAUCCAUAUUUUGCUAGCCUCUUCGGUACCGUGCAUUGCUCUUUCUCAUAUUGAGAGUUGGUGCAAACUCCGCUGGUGCAUCCAAACCCAUAACAUGAUACGCUCUGUCAUACAUAAGCCUCAUUAUAUCUUUCCUCAAAACAGCCACCGCACAUACCUAUUAAGGCAUUUUCCUAGCCUUUCCGAGAUACAUUGCAAUGCAACAUCCACCAUCUCAUGACUUGAUCUUCAUGUCAUACAUGCUUUUGCUUGAUCGAGGAGCCGCAUGCUAGUUGGGCCUUGCCCUCAUUACUGCUACAUGACGCGCUAGUAUCAUUGCAUAUCCUGCUACACUGGCAGAGGCAUACAUUUGCAUAGAUCAUGAUAGUUUUCACUUGUCUUUAUGUUGAGUAUUUUUUAUAAAGUGUGAUGAUUUUUCUUUUUAUUCAUGUAAAACAUAGAGUGUUGCCCUUAAGUGAGAAAAAGAUCCCAAAGUGGACAAAACAAAAGAUCCCAAAAAGGACAAAUGGGAGAUAAAAAGAAAGAGCCCAAGAGGCCACAAAAAAAUAAAAAGAGAAAGAGAAAAAAGGGAGCAACACUACUAUUCCUUUGAAAGAUCCACACUCGUACUCCAUUGCGCUCAUGGAUUUGCAGCAAUGGUGGAGAUCCCCGAUGGAUUUGCAGUCAUGGGGGAUGGGGAGGGGGAGCAGCGGGCAGGCUAGGCGGAGGGGUUCAUGGCUAGCGACGGUGGCACGCGAGGUCGUGGAUGGUUUGUGUAGAGGAAGGGCGGCGAAGAGAAAGGGGAUCAGUUUGGGCGAGGAAGACGAUGCAAAGAGUGGACGGGAGAGUAUUGGACAUGGGAGGAUGAGGGGAUGAGAUGGUUUAAACAGAGCAAAAAUUAGCCGCCUGAUUUAAAGUGUUUCCCCUAAAAAAUGACUAUGAAAACGUGAGCCAUUGGGAGUGGAAUUGUUUUUUAUUUUAUAUCUUUUCAGGGGCUUUCCUGUAAUUGGUAUUGGUGAGGCAUCUUAUUCUUCUCCUUGUAAAUAUGACCGAUGUUUUCCCCUUCUAAGAGCAUCUCUAGUAGAACCCUCAAACCCUUAAAUCUAAAACCAGUUUUAUGGGUUGAGAAUUGCCCAUUUUUGACACUUUUAAGGGUUGAAAAACAGGGGCAAAGACUAGAACCCUCAAACCCAACCCUUAUAACGGAAUAUUUCGUUAUAAGGGUUGGGUUUGAGGGUUCUAGUCUUUGCCCCAACCCCAACCCUUAAAACUGUGUUUUGGCAUUGCAUAAUUUUCACUAGAAAAACAUAAUAUACCUUCAAACAAACACGGAAAUAAAGAUCAUUGAUGCAUGGUUUAAUAGUUUUUACAUCACACAAUCAUCAUCUUCCCCCUCUCAUCGGCACCAUCACCAAAAAAUUGCACUUGGCGCCAUUUCCUAGACCACUUCCACGUCCAUCAAGCACCUCCAUUGUCGCCGGUGGUGGAGUCAUCCACACCGCCAUCGCCACCACCACUCAUCUGAGUGUCACCUCGAAGAGUAGAGGAUGCACCACGAAAUAUCCUCUUCUUCUCUGCGAUGUCCUCCUUGUAGUCCUUCCACCAUUGCAAUUCUUCUUGAUCCAUGUCCUUCUUGGACAUCAUCAUGUGCUCCUUCUCUUCCACCAUGAGUUCUUUCCAUACCUUUGCCUCUUUCACCUUGAUCAUCCUCUCCUCCAAGUCGGCCUUGCGCUUUGCUUCUUCACGUUUUGCUUCAACUUGUGCAAGCUUGACCUCUUUCUUCUUCUCGGUGAUAAGAAUCUUCAUCUCCAAUGUCUUGCUUGUCAAUUCCUCUCUUGCCUUCAUCAUUUGCUCCAUCUUCUCCCUUAGGCUUGAUGCCUCUCCUUCCAUCUUCACCCUUUGCUUGCCCUUCUUGGUUCCCUCAGGCUUGCCCAAGUUCCUCUCCUUCUCCUCAUCUUCACUAUCAUCCAUCCUAAGCAUUGCCGACUUCUUGGGUGCGGUCUCUUGAUCCCUCAACUUCCACUUGGCAAAGGUUUGAAGAAUUGCCCAAGCAUGCUUAAAUGGGAAUGGCUUGCCCUUGGAAGCGGCCAUAUCCUUGUACCUCAUGGCGAAAUUGUCUCCUAUCAACCACACAUAAUCACAUAAGAACCCACCAAUAGCAUAGUACACACACAUAAUCAAAAUAGUGAAGAGAUAUGUACUCACAUAGUCACUCUCCACGGUUCCACUAGGUUGUGCAUCCCUCACUUGGUCCAUGGCUGCACUCCAACGAGCACAAGCGGGCUUCAUCAACUCCCACCGGCCUUGAAGUGACCGGUAACUGCGAGAGAUGAACCCACUAUUCUUCGGCUUGAUCCUACAAUAGUUGUCCUCGAUCCUGUGCCAAUACCUUUUACCGGUUUGAUCGGUGCAGGUGGUUGCAUCCAUCCCCACAUAUGCCCAAGCACGAACCAAGAGGAUAUCUUCCGCUUUGGUGUAGUUUGUCGACCGCACGUGUGGGCGGGAAGCGGCGGUGAAUGCCACCUACCCUAUCUCGGCCACCUCCUCCUCGUCAUCCCCUUCAUCCUCCUCAUCUUCCUCAACCUCCUCACGAAAGGGUUCUAGAGGCGGAGCCUCGAGGUCCACCUCCGCGUCUUGAAGGAGGUCCAUGAACGAGGAUGGGGUUGCCAUUUCCUUGAACACCGGGUGCGUGGCGGGAGGAGGUUCGGCGACGGCGGUGGCCGGGGCCGCGAGCUUCUUCCGUGCCGCGACCUUCUUCCGCUUCGGGGACGCAUCGACGACCUUGGAGGAAGCCCCUCGCGGCCCACGGGAGGAGACCUUCUGUAACGACCAAGAUGCGGUUCUUUCCGACCUGGGGGUCGAGGCCCCCGAAUAGGAAAGAAGCGUAUCUAAGCGUUUCGCAAGCAAGUAACAUAGCACAAAUAAUAAUAAAAGUAGAAAAUUCGGGAUUCAACUGUCUUCUCAUUAAUAACUCAGAGUACAUCACAGAUACAAUCAAGGUAGUUCUGCUACGGACUACAAAACAUGGAAAUGCUAUGCUACCCUGCCUGCAGGCCCACGAUCACGACCACGCCUCAGUCCUCUGGAUAGUUCACGUAGAGGCGGUGUGUCUCCUCGUCGUACCGCAACGCCAGCUGGGUGCCGUCGGGAUCAUCUGUCUCUGGGGUACCUGUACCUGUUGGGAGUUCGGAGGAAUCCGUGAGCCACGGGGACUCAGCAAUCUAAGACCUUGGUGCCAGAACUAGUCAUGUUAUUAGGUAGGGUAAGGGUGAAGUGUAUAAGGUUGCACCAUCCUAAGCUUGAUUUAGUGGCUAACUUACGUAAAGCAAUUAUGAAGGUGGUCUACACUAGCGGUCGUGAUUACUUGAUCACUAAGUGAUCCUGAACACCUACCUACGGCAUUCAUAACCCCACCGUGUUCCCGAUCGAAGAGAGAUCUUCGAGGGGGACAGUCACGGUUACGCACACAGUUGGCAAUUUUACUAGCUUAUGUUUAAGUUCUCUAAUACCGGAUGUUAACAAAAUAUUCCAAGUUGCCACAUAACCGCGGGCAUGGCUUUCCGAAAGAUUAAACCCUGCAGGGGUGCUCCAACUAGUCCAUCACAAACGUACACAGGCCGCAAAGGCAUCCUCUAUCACGAAUCUCGUGAUCUCGUAGGAUUCCUUAGAGGAAAAACCUCAACUCUGGGGAAAACCAAAGCUUCACUGGGAUUCCUAUACGCAAGAUAUACCGCUAAGGUAAGGCAAGGCUAGUAGGACCUCCCGACGUGUCGACGACCCCGAUAAGAGCCGCGUAUCUCAGUCUCAGGACACGACGGAUGGAAAAGCCUACAGGAGGCAAACCUCAAGUUUCCCUGUGGUGGCCCCCACAGUUUGUCCAUGUUAGACCAACACUCAUGCGGAGCACUGGCCCGGGUUGUUGAUUAAAAUCCUCGGGGUAGCUAUUCCCUAUGCAGUUUAUUAUUAAGUGAUUAGAAAAUUAACACCAAUGUUGGGUCCUGCCGGACAAGCCUUAGCACUAUGCGAUUUAUCGAGGGGGUCCCCAUAACAACCCCGAACGUGUUAGGAGCGAUCAUUAUGGAAUCAAACACCGGUAACUGGUAACUAAGGCAGCAAUAACGGAACAAAGCACCCGACAAAAGGCUAGGUCUCCCGUCAUUUACCAAGUAUAUAGGUGCAUUAAAUAAAUAACAGAAUUUAAGAUAAUGAUAUCAAGCUCAUGUUAUCACAUGAGUCAAAGCACCUGCAUCUAGCAACGCUAUCAUUAGUAGCUGAGCAAAGCCUACUUAGCCAUACAAGUUUAGCUAGGAAGGGAUCAGUGUUUGGGUUCAUGGCAUAUCAAGAGGCAAUAUAAUUCAGUGGUAGGCAGCAAGCAAUAUGACAUGGAAAUGCAAACUAGCAUAGCAAGUCUAGAGAUGGAAUCAAGGUCAUAUCAUCUUGCCUGUGAUAUCCUCAGCUUGGAAUGGUUCUGGUUCGUCCUGCACGUACUCUCCUGACUCCACGUAUUCGUUCUCCGAGCCCGGUGCUACCCAACAUAAGAAUAACAACCAAUGAAGAGCAGCACCACAAUAUGCAACAAGCACAUGAUGCAUGAGAUGAAAAAUGAGCAUGCAUCACUAUUUCUAUCACUAGCACUAGCAAAAGGAACUACUAUAAGUUUCUGGACAGAACUGUACACUAAGCUAUUUUGACAUGCAUGAGAAUGGCAUGAACAAAUGCGUCUCGUGAAAACGAUGCAAAACCAUAUAAAGAACAUUACAAUCGGAGCUACGGAUCAACGGGAAUCAAUGAAACAAGAUAUGAAGCCCUACGUGCAAGAAUCAACACCACACCCACAAUUGGCACAAAUCUGGUGUUCCCAGGUUGCCAAGACAUAUAACAACCCAACAUGAAUGGAUUGUAGCAAGGAAUAACACCACAACAUCAACUAAUCACCCACAAUUAUAAAAAUGACUAUACUACACAAUCUGCCAUAAUCUGCAUCUUAGCUCUUUGUGAGCUACAUGAAACAUAGCUACAGCCCUCAAAAUAUGACAAAUAAUAUAUGUGUCUGUAGCCCACCAAGAACACUACAAGCACCAGCAAUAAUCACAGCAAAAGGAAUUAAACUCUAGAAGAUACAAGGGCACAAACUUUCCCAAAACCAUCAGAUCUCAGGGACUUGGUGAAAAUUCCUGCACCUGACUUUCUGUUUUUGUUCUGAAGCUUUUUGACAGCAACCAAAACAUAAUAUACAGGGCUCCAAAUGAGAUGAAAUUUGACAGGGAGCUUCACAAACAUAUCAGGUCCAAAUUCUUAGCACUGAACUAAGGCUAGUUCACAACACAAUGACCAACACAACCUCAUCUAUAGGAGAAGAAAGUAUUUCCAGAUUCUCAGACUUAGUGAAAUUCCAGAUUUCACUAAGCUGGAAUUUUCAGCCACAUACCCACUUUGUCUAGGAAUAGUUUGCACAAAAAUAACACCAAGUGAUAAAUGACACCACUAUGGUGUAGAGCAAAACCCCUACUACUAUCACACAAAAGCUCAUGCCCUUGGGCUCCACCUAUUCCAUGGAAACAAAGAGCAACCUUGCAACAAAUCUGAAUAUGUCAACUCCAUAAAGUAUCCCAAUGGCAAAACUAACUUCACCACUGGACUCCUUGGGAGAUUCUACCCCAAAAUAAUAUAUAAUAUGUGGGAACUUACUUGGAACAAGUGACCACAAAUUAAGGAACAGGAAACUACUCCAAAUCAUGCCUAGUGAAUAGUGCAUCAUUUCAUGUAGUUUCACUAUAUCAACUACUACAUGGUUGAGCUCAUGUGCACAAUGACAAAGUGACAUGGGGGUUUGAACCCCAUGUUUGUGUCAUGCACAUCAACUUCACAACCACUUCUACCAAGCUAUCCACACAUACAAAUCACCAUGCCCUCUCACAUAUGGACAUGUGAAGGUGCAUAGUUUUGCUUGCAAAGGUGGGGUGUCCCACACACACACACAUCCACUCCACUACACACAUCAAAACAUGUUCUUGGACAACACUAAAUAUUGCAUCUAUUUAGAUCACUCAAGUAGGGAGCUCAUCCACCACAAACACAUGCUCACAAACUUAGAUGUACAUGAACUAUGUUCAUGUGGGGGGUGUUCCUCACACCACAUGCACCACAACAUAUAUAUGCACUCAAAACCUGUCACACUACACCAUAUAAGCAUGACACUAGGGCAUCUACACACUCACUUAGGCUAGCUUCACCACACACUCACAUUCAUACAACCACGCAUACACACAUAUGAGCACAUACACCACACUCACAUAUCUUACCUACACCACUACAACUUCUGGACAGGAAAAGAAAAAUAAGAUGCACUCCUUUAUGCCUAUUAUUUAGGCACAAGGUGUAACAACAAAUAGCAAAGGAAAAAUAAAAGAAAGAAAGGGAAAAAAAUUAAAAGGGCAGGCCUGGGAUUCGAACCCAGGGCCUCCUGAUUGCUGGUCUGUGGUGCAACCACUCUGCUACUGUCAUGGUUUUGACAGAGAGAGGGGCACAUAGCAAGUUGACCUUCUUGCUGCUGCUACUACUAAGAAACAGGGAAAUAAAACCCAAAAAGGGGCAGUGCACCACCGGGGACUCGAACCUUGCACCUCUCGUUGACCAACAGGAGUCACUACCACUGCGCUACUGCAUCGACAUCUGAUAGAGGAAGGACCUGAAACAAGAAAUACCAACACUAUCGCUGUCCCUGCUCCACAACUGCGCGCCGGCAACACAGAAGACGCCGUGGCGAGCAACUGCUGCCGCUGCACCGCUCGAGGGCGACCUGCCGAACUGGGAUGGCGCUACGAGGGGAGGAGGAACCCUACUACCACUACCAACUACAAACCGUGCCUGCAGAGAACAACACGCACACAAGCUGAAGAAGCUACUGCUUUGCUUCGACGGAGGUGCACGGCGACAGGGAGUUCGCCGGCGUCCUGUUGCUGCAGGUCCUACCGGAGGAACCGAAGCAACCCGAGGAGAAGGAUCCUCUGCUACUAUCUACGCACAGCCGCGUGGCUACCUCGUCUACAUCGACACGAACGGCGGAAGUCUACUCUGCCUGCUCCAACGAUCAGUGCAACACGUACACACAGAUCCUGCUGCCGAGCAACUGCCAGAGAAGCACGGCGCAGCCAACUGCGAACCUAAGGCGGAGCCGAGGGGAGAAGGAAGGGGAGGUUGCUCCUCACCUUGGGGAAGGAAGGAGGUGAGCCGACCGGAGAAGAGGCCCGGCGAGGAAGAAGAACGACCUGCUGCCGAUCUGAAGAAGAGGAGGCAGACCACCGGGUUCAUGGCGGAGACGAGCUCGCCCCCGUCGGUGUGGCCGCUCCCCGACGCGACCAACGACGGUAAUGGAACGCGGGGUCGAGCCCCGAGCUCCUGGACAUGGCGGCUGACGAUGCUCGACGGAGACGGCGGGGUAGAUGCGGCGGGGUUGAUCUCUCUCUCUGCUACUCGAACAGAGACUUACCAGAGGGGGAGGAAGAAGAAGAGAGAAGGUGGUGGCGCACUGGAGGAAGGAGAGGGAAACCUAGGGAAGGAGGAGGGUUCCCUGCGUCUUAUAUUACCUCGGGGAGGGCGCUUGACCACUGGAUCGCGCUAUGGAGGAACGAAAGGAGGAGAUGCAGUCGUACAGAGAUGACGUUGGGAGCGGGAAGAGAGGGACGCGGGUGUGGGCUCUAUGCGCGUGAGAGGGAGAAGAUGGGCCGACCAAGGAGGGAGAGAGCCCACCUGUGGCGGCAGAUAAGGAAAAAAAUAACUACCUUAGAUAUCCUAUUUACAGAAAAACAAAUAGAGAAGAAGAAAUGCACAAGGAAAUAUACAAGUGAUAAAAAUAUCACAAGCACAUUCCUGGAGAUAGAAAAAUAAGACCUAUUUUAAUAAAACAGAAAAGGGAUUUUAGUGGCAAGCAAAUAUUUACAAAAACAAUAUUUAUACCACUGUUUUGUGAAUAUAUAGCCCCUCUCAAACAAAGUUUUAAACAACAAAUACCUAUCUCCACAAUCACCACAAAAUAUACUAAAUCAUGGACAUUUUUAAAACAGGGAAGGAUCAAGUAAAUAUUGGGCUUGAGAUGAAAAGAGGGAGAGGGUAUGAAGCCUAUGCAAACCACAUAGUUCCUACUAGCAAUUGCACCACUCCAUCACUCACAUGCACUAACAACCAUGACAUAUUCAUCACACCACAAACACACAUGGAUUCACAAAGGCACAAACACAAGACAUAGGAUGGAUGGGAUGCAUGCAUGCAAAGGGAAAUCAAAACAAGGUGAAACACAUGAAAUCAUGGCAGAAAUGAUAACAUCAAAUCUCUGACAAGGUGGACCCACAUGCAAUAGGUUUCAAAUAUGGCAAGGUUUAUAUCUGGGGCACUACAAAAUCUCCCACACUACAAAGAAGAUCUCUCCCUCGAGAUCUAAGACUGAAAGAACUCGGGAAAUUCGGAACGGAGGUGAUCCUCGCGUUCCCACGUAGCUUCUUUAUCGGAAUGGUGAGACCACUGCACUUUGAGAAAUUUGACAGUCUUGUUACGGGUCUUGCGCUCAGUCGCCUCGAGAACCGCAACUGGAUGCUCACGAUAAGAAAGGUCAGGCUGAAGGUCGAUAUCUUGAAGAUGCACAGUGCGCUCGGGGGUCUUGAAGCACCUCCGAGGCUGAGAAACAUGGAACACAUCAUGGACAUUUGCAAAGGUUGCCGGAAGCUCGAGCUGGUACGCAAGGUCUCCCCUCUUGCCAACCACUCUGAGCGGACCAACGAAACGAGGCGCAAGCUUGCCUUUGAUGCCAAAGCGUUGCAUACCCUUCAUAGGCGACACCUUGAGAUGGACAAAGUCAUCAAGCUCAUAAGACAUGUCGCGGUGCUUGCUAUCGUAAUAGCUCUUCUGACGGGACUGAGCUGCUCUCAGGUUGUCGCGAAUGAUCCGACACAUCUCCUCAGCUUCUUCUAUCAUAUCAUUCCCAAGGAUCUGACGCUCGCCUGUCUCGGACCAGUUGAGCGGAGUACGACACUUCCUGCCAUAGGGGAUUUCAAACGGAGCCUUGCCAGAACUAGCUUGAUAACUAUUGUUAUACGAGAACUCCACAAAAGGCAGAUAAUCUUCCCACUUCAUGCCAAAAGAGAUAACACAGGCUCUCAGCAUAUCCUCAAGAACUUGAUUCACUCUCUCCACUUGACCACUGGUCUGAGGAUGGAACGCUGUGCUGAAGCGGAUCUUUGUGCCCAUAGUAGACUGAAAGGAGUCCCAGAACUUGGAAGUAAAGAUACUUCCGCGAUCUCAAGAGAUCAUCAUAGGCACGCCGUGCAAAGAGACAAUCCUGGAGGUGUACAACUCUGCCAGCUGAGCUGCUGAAAUGGACUCCUUGACUGGAAGGAAAUGAGCCACUUUAUUCAACUUGUCGAUGACGACGAAGAUAGCAUCAUUGCCCUUCUUGGACUUCGGAAACCCGGUGACGAAAUCCAUCUCAAUGUGAUCAAACUUCCACUUGGGAAUCAGCAAAGGCUGCAAGAGACCUGCUGGGCGUUGAUGUUCUGCUUUCACCCUUCGACAUACAUCACACUCGUUUACGAACUGUGCAAUUUCACGUUUCAUACGAGUCCACCAGAAAGUCUGCUUCAAGUCAUGGUACAUUUUGGAGCUUCCAGGAUGAAUAAAGAGCAGAGAGUUAUGAGCUUCUUGCAUGAUCACCUUCCUGAGAUCACCUUUCGGGACAACAAGGCGAUCCUCGAAAAACAACGUGUCCCUGGCAUCAACAGUGAAGCACUUAUACUUGGGGAGACUCUUUCCCAUGCCAAUCUCAAACACUUUUUCAAGCAGGGGGAAACGGAUCUGGUUCGGAAGCCGGAGAUGGAAGAGAGGGUGUCGUGUCGGAUCUUCAAUCGGGGCAAACAACGGAUGCUCGGGAUAAAUCUGGACUUCGAUUGGUUUUUGAUGGAUAUGAGCUUUCCCUGAAUAAGGAUCAAAAUAUGCUUCCUAAAACAGCAUGCGCAAUGGUGGGCCGAGUACAUAGCAUAGCGUAUAUCAAGUAUCCAACGCCUUCCGAAUAAGGAAUGGAAGCCGACUUAAUAAAACUACAUCUUGCUGAUGUAGGUGUAGACAGGUAUUCUAAAAGGAGUGACAAUAUUGGGUGUAAGGAUUCUUCAAUGCAAACAUUGACCACUCGUAUGGUAGCCUCACAACCAUCUACAAGGGAGACAUCCACCUCAACCUGAAGUUCACCCACGUGGAGCCUUUACUAGUCGGAGUGGUAAGACUACAACUGAUCCUCUUCCCCAAUGCCAGCGUUGUAUGUACCACCUGCCUUCUACCCUAGCCGGCCCAAUACCUUCUCCACAGGGACCUCAACAGUCCACUACUUCUGCUGCACAGCCUAGUUCUUCUACACCAGCAGCUAUUUCUCCUAAUGAUCCAUCAUCAAUCUGCUCCACCUGUCAACCCGAAGCUGCCAUUUCCAGAACGGUUUGUGAAGUCAACUGAAGACAAGCAGAUUGCCAAGUUUCUGGAUAUGAUGACAGAUAUGCAGAUUACCACCCCCAUCCUUGAUGGUGUCUUACAGGUGCCGAUGUAGACACAGUUCUUUAAGGACCAGCUCGCAAAGAAGCGAAACAUUAACGAGCUAGAACUGGUUACUCUUACUAAGGAAUGUAGUGCACUCGUUCAAAUAAGCUACCUCUCAACUUAGAUGAGCCUGCCAGUUUCAGUAUUCCAUGCUUGAUAGGAAGUCAAACUUUCCAUGCUUUAUGUGGUCUUGGGUCUACUGUGAUUCCCUUCACUGUCUACGAGCCACUACCAUUGGGUAAUGUACGGCCGACUAGCAUCACUCUCCACCUUGCUGAUCAGGAUCCGGCAGACAUUUUGGGUGAUAUCCCUGCGAUAGUUGGUAACUUCGCAUUUCCAGUUGAUUUUGUUGUCUUGGAGAUGUAGGAUAAGAGCUUUCCUAUUAUUUUAUUUUGGGACACCUUUUCUAGCUACUGCAGGGGUUGUCAUCGAUGUGAAAGAUGCUAAGCUCACGCUUCAAUUUGGUGAGGAGAAAGUCUCAUUUGACAUGACAAUUGGAACUCCUAUUGAAAUAGCUUUUUAUGGUGAAAUAGCAAUUCAAGUAGGAUUGGUAAAAAUUCAUAAAUAGCGUAAUACCUUUUUCCUUCCUGAACCUUUUCGUUUUAGUAAGUUCAUGAAAUAUUUCAUACUAUUGAUUGAUAGUUUUUUAAAGGGAUUUUACCAAGAACUUCCUGCGAAAGGGAGAGUGAGCUGGAAAUAGGAUUUCUGAUCUGGGAAUGUUGGUUUCUGACGCAAAGGAAACUUUAGGUUAAGAAAUCAAACCCAAGCAGGUACAAACAUUUCCCAUAGUGGUUGUGGUUGCUAAUGGUCAGAACAUAAUCAGUAAAGCUGUGUAUCGGAGGGGGUACCCGGAAGGUGCAAGGAGUGGAAUUUGAAGCUAAACUGCAAAAUUGCCACUGGUUGCCUAUGACAUGGUGCUAGGAAUGGAUUGGUUGAAUACUCCGCUGGGGAACACGAAGGUGAAUUGGAAAGAGAAAUACAUACAUGUCUUUAGGGAAGGUUCAUUGGUAGAAAUCAAAGGGGUAGCAAGCUCAGUGGCAGGAGAGCAGCAUGGCUUGAUUCAGUUUCUUCUUUCUAUUGAUUUUCAAAUAAUAUGAACUCUAUCUGAAGUAUUGAUACUUUUUAGUAUGCUUUCAUUUUGCUGGGAGGGGAACAGACGGGGGUCAGAGGGGAUUUUCUCAAGCUUGUGACCUGAUCUUGACCCGAAACUACUGCUCUUUCCUUUCCCAUCUAUAAACCAUAGUCAGCACUUAGCUAUUUUAAUGAAACCACACAAAUUGGUUAGUAUUUUCUGUUUUGACCAGGGAGCCAACCCAAUCCAUUCGCCGCAGAAAAAGAGAGGCAAAAUAGGGCAAAUAAACUGAAGCAGAUGAACGGACGACCAAUCGACUACAAGAAGAAAUGAGAACUGUUUUUCUAUUUGGAACUCCAAAGUCAAAGAAUGGUUUUUCACUUCCGCCUCUUUGAAUCAAAAGGGUCUUCUUCAACACAAGCAAUAGCCUCAAUAGCAAGCUUUCUUCCCACCCUCUCUCUAAAUGCAACAGAGUCCUACCAUGGUAAGGUCAAGCGCCCUACUUGCUUGUUGACACGUGAGAGGAAAUAGGAGUAAUAAGUGCCAGGAUUUACCACUUUCGAAGAAGUACUGAUCUCAAAGAACUGUCCGGCCCACUUUCAGGUUAUGAAGGUCGUUGAGAACAAAAGAUGUAGUUUCUUUCCUCUCGAGAGGAGGCGCGGCAGAGAUAGACAGAUCAUUACAUCAAACUAGCAAUCAAGAUAUAUAACUCACCUUUCUACUACGAGAAUAGUAUAGUGGAUCAAGAGCCGCGCCGCCAACCUCAAACUCUUCAUUCCAGGCCAAUAGUUUCGCUAUAGUGACUACGUACCUUUAACACAUUCUUAUUGAGGCUAAGCUUCAGGCCAACUACGAAUUGAGAUUCGAGAGCGGGGUGAACUUCAUCACUUCGAGGGAAGCUUUCUUCUCCGGGACAACUCCAGAAAGGAAAGAUAGACUGCAGGCUUGAAAUAUAGACAGAGUUUGCUACUAAAGGCUCGGCUGAAAAGGCUAACUAUCUUUUGAUUUCGCGUUCUUGAGUAUGGAGAAGAAGAAAAACGAGUCUAGCCCGGGGACUUUCAGUAACUUGAUGGAAGAAGCUUUCAAAAAGAGGCUCAAAGGCUUUUUACGUCAGUCAUCUCUUCAAACCUUCCUGCAACUUCUUACUUCCCUUUUGAAUUGACCUUCAAAGCUGGCUUUACCUAUUUAUCUUGACCAGAAAGGAAUUGAUAAAGGGGAUGUUAUAUCCAGACCAUAGACAACGUUUCAACUUUCACUUAGGAAGGGGGAAAGCUCUACUUAGCCUUACGUAGCCUGUCUUAGCCCACCGGCUUACCGAGCUCUACGUCACUUUGAUUUCAAUGUUAGGCUAGGAUUCUUCUUUCCCGAAGGACCUCUCACUCUCUGGAAUGUCUGAUUAACCGCUGCUUAGUGGUAUCGAAUGAUACAAAGUUGUUCAAGGAGCUAAACGCGAACACAAGAAAUUGCGUACCUUAGAUGCCAUAAGUUUUCCUUACCGAGGGAAAAAUCAUUGGGACUACUUUACCCACCCUUAUUACCAACCUCAUCAUAAAGAGGACCCAUAAGGACAAUAUGCGGAUCUUCUCCUUGCCUUCCUUACAGCUACGAGAGACGAAAGGUGCUUCUGGAAGCUGAGAGAAAGACACCAUGAUCUACUGCCACGGUAUGAUACCAAUGAACAUACUUGAGGCACUGUUGUUCCCUUUUACUCACAAUGGAAAGAAAAGAGAUGCAGAAAGAUUUUUCUAUAAAAAAAAGAAUAUAUAAUGAUUAUAGCCGUGUAUGUAGUAGGAAGAGGAAAGAAAGAAUUUUUUCAACUAUGUUGUCAACUAUUUAUGCUCGUUGCUAGAGUGAAAUAAGUUUCUUCAUGCGCUUACGAAUAAGCAAAAAGAAUAAAUUCUUACUCAAGUAGUUUGGUUUGUAGUUUAGUUUUUUUAUUGACUCUAGUAGUGUAGUUAGCAUGCCUUCCGUUCCUUGCUUGCUUAUGCACUUUUUAAUUAAAGACGACCUUUAAAUUCAUUAUUGACUGGAUAAAGUAGUAUUAGUUAAUAUACGCUGAUUCAGACAAAUCAAAAAUAAGAGAUAGUCUUUUUCGAUACUGUAUGCUGGGGCAGACCUGUAGGUGAGCACAAGCACACCCAGCCUUCCACCUCUUUAUACUUAUGUUUAGCAGUGUACCUGGUCUUACUUCUUUUUCAGUUUACGCUUGUGUCCCAAGCUUGCAAGUUCGAAGAAGAGUAUUGUAUUGACCUAAAUCAAGUUGUUUGCCUACCCGCCGUUAUGUCUUAGCUAGGAAUGAGCUGUGAACAAAAUCAAAAUAGUUGUUACUUGAGUCGAUAAUGACUUUGUGUCGGUUUGCUAUUUUCUAUAAAUUGGACUGGUACCAUGUAUUGUAACAUAAGCUUUUGUAUAAGAGCUGAGAUGUGGUUAAGAUUACACUUGAUCCUCUCUCUGUUUUGUUGCUUCCUUCCAUUAUCUCCAACAACUGGUAUCAACACUAGGAACCUUCACGGUCAGGGUUUAUUUUAUUAGACCACUAUGAACACUUGUAAUUGGUUCUUUCUACUUCAGGCAUGGUUCUCUCUAGUUAGUGGAAGAGUGUACAACAUAGGGAUUGGUAUCAGUCACACAUUUAGGAAAGAAAGUGAAAGGGGAGGGCAAGAGCGGUUCGAAGGUCAAUGAAAUGAUAAAAAACCACCAGGUCGAGUUCGCUUCUCCCUUCCUUUUGGUGUUUAGGAUGUGAAGUUGAUAUAAGAAGAGAGGAAAGGGGAGCUGCGCUAAAUGGAUAAUUUCAUCCUGGUGAUGGGCUAUUCCAAUGGGCAUGCAUCUGAGAUAUGGGCUUUGAGCGUAGGAACGCCCACCUUUACAAGAGCUCAGUUCUAAGAUUGUUUGCGUGCAGGCACCACUACUAUUCUGUCUUUUCUUGUUAUGCAUCCGGUCCUAUAAAUCUUUUUUUUCUGACCGGAGGAAGAGAAAUAAAAACGUCACUUCGCUCGCCUUGGGGGACCUAAUUAGGAGCUGAUUGAUUUCUUUAAUAGAUAUGAAGAUGCCUUGAAUGAACCCAAGCAAGCCGAAAUAGAAUACUAUAAGUAUGAAGUGGACAUCUAUGGUUUAAUUGGAAACAUCUCUUUUUUAUUUAGAUUUUGCCAGUGCCUCCCUUUGUGGCAGAGCGAGCGCCUUGACUAAGAUAGAUUGACUCUUUCAUUAUUUUAUUUUAUUUUAUUCUGGUUCCAAUCGUUUGAGGAAAACCCCCUUUGGCAUCAAUGAAACUCUGUUAUAUAGGAGUUCAAAAACCUCAUUUCAUUUGAGAGAUAGUGGAAUUUCUUCUUUCAACACGUACAUCGACGAGGGUGUCGAUGACUUGAGUGAGGAAUGGUCAUGUGCUAGAGGCCGUACCUUUGGAGUAAGACCUCAACAAGGGGGUGUGCAGUUUAAAUGUAAAUGACGAGCAUGGAGAGGCCAAGGUCAUUUGUAAUUAGGUGUGGCUGAUGCAAGAAGACUGGCGAGCUAUCCAUGGUGAGAAAAGUUGUGAUGCUACUGCAGGGGGCAUCCUGGUGUAGUUGAGGGCGCAGAACUUCUGUGCGGGUACAACUGGCACUUAAAAGACCUUUCGUGUAGAUGAGUUCUCUUGAGUGAGACUAAUCGAGUUACGAAGAAACCUUUGCGAUGGUGCUGUGCAGUUGGGUUCUCUAUGGAGGAACUUCGUUGUGGGGACCAAGGGGUCUUCUUAAGAAGAGUUGCUUUGAUGAAAAGAGUGUAGCCAUGAUGGCAAGUCAAGGUGGGGCCCUGUGAAGGCAAGCGUUCUGUAUGUUGGCGUGAUGACGAGAGAAAGGAAAUGCCCUGGAACAAUAGCUGUCCGUAGCACACCCUGCAAUGACUUCGACCAGCAGACCAGCCUAUCCAAUACCCUACGCCAUGACCUUAGAAGUUCGUACCCCAUGAUAUUCAAUGACACCCGUAGACAUUUGAUCAUUCAUACCUCACAGUACGCUUUCUUUCUUUUUUUGGACUUUGAAUUCCAAGUGAAGGAAGCUCAGUGAAAGAUAGACUGGGAUUUGACAGCAAGAAGAAAGCAACCAUAGUACGUGGCACACACCGCUGAUGAAUGAGAUUGACGUCCCAAACCAACAUAGGUUCAAGACUAAGUGCAGAACCAAGAAUGCCGUGGAUAGAAAAGUGACUGCUUCCUCAAGCUUCAUGAAGGAAGGGUCCAAGGACCUAAGCGACAACCUCUACGAAAAAGAAAAACCUAUAUAUAGAGAGUGGUAUGUGUUCGCUGACACUAAAUAGACUUGGCUCGGGGCAGAACUGAGUGGCUAGGCUAAGUUCCCUAGUCUUCUAUUGUCCUACCCACCCCUACGACAUGGAGGCGCUUACCCUUCUCCAACAAGCGUUCCACCACGCUGCGAUUGAUUACCGCUUUCCGUCUCGAUCCAUUCCAGACCAAGCCCCUUCUCUGAUCGGGGGAAGGUCAUUAUAAAACAUCAGAUCUCCCAUUGAUGUUGAUCAAAAAUAAGUUUAUCCACCUAGAAUAUAUUCUAGGUACCGAAAGAUUGGAUGUCAUUUCUCAAAACCAGGCGGGACGAGCAGCCCUAUACCACGUGUAGCCACACUCUAGUGUCCUUUUCUACUUGGUUGGACAUAUCACUUCAGAAAAUCGUAUAAAGAUCAAGCAAGAAAACGGAUGCGCUAACGCGCGCAACGGCUUUCGCGCUAGUUGCUCAAAAAAUCGUAUAAAAAUUCAAGCAAGAAAAAGGUUCUGGCAGGCUGCGUGGGACUGUAAAUCCUCUUUCGCUGGCUGGGCCCUUUGGACUCGAAAUCCAAACGGAGUGAGUGGUUCGAUUCCACUCUCAGAACGAGACUGAACGAAAGAAAAUGCAAGUGAAACGAGACGAGAAUCAAAUUGUAGGCUUCUUUCCUAAAAGCGGUGGUUCUCGCCUCCCCGUGCCCAAAGCGGGGUGGGCGACAGCGCUGCGGUUCUUUUCUUUAUCGAUCGGUCGUGACGCCUUUUCCUUUUGUAUGAGAAAGCGCUACAAAACAUCCUUCUCGCGGGUUAUCUUCUACUCAAGCAAGCUCUCUCCUAUUCUUCAUCCACCAACUAGCAGGAACGUAGGAGCACAAGAGGGUCAUCAUCUUCUGAAACGAUUGGCUUUCGAUCUGCUUUCCAAGAGGUGGUUUCUGACAUGACCAGAAAGAGUGGAAUUCUUGUUAGGAUUGGCAUGUCAAGUUGCUUUCUCGGACCCUAACAUAAACCACCUUAUCCUCACUAAGAUUGUUCUUUUGGACUGAGCAGAAGCAUGACCUCUAUAUGAUGUUUUCUCUAUCCCUUCUAAUCUCUCAAUGGCAUUUCCAUCUCUGGAUUCAAUCAAUCAAGUAAGUCCAGAUGACACUUGUCUUUAUUUAGUGUUUCCCCGGCUAUUCAGCCAUUACUUGCAUCUCAGGUUCUUUGUACCCUUUUUUAGUGCCAUGCACACUGAGGUUUCUGGCAUGACCGAAUCUUUUGAGAAUAUCGCUUAUUACGUUAAUUUCUUCAUCUUGAUGUACUCAAUCCAUUCAAAUUCCAUAAUUCCAAUGCUAUAGUGUCGUUUUUGAGUUCCUGUUUAACGACGUUGCAAGUGUAUUUCAGCAGUGGAUGUUCCCUUCUUUUGUUUUUUGAUUUACAUGUUUUGGCUCGCUUUCGUCUUUUUCUGCGGCUAACUAGUAUAGAAAAUCCAAGUGGACGUUGUUCUUAAACUCCAUAAGGAUUAGAAGGUGGUUCUAGCUCGUUGGAUGGCAUUCGUAAGCAGCUAUGAUAUUUCUUAUCUUUGAUUAAGCGAAGCGAUCUGGGAUCUUUCAAGGAAUGAGAUCCGGGUAUAUAGUCAUGAUCUAGUGUUUAAGAAUUUUAUGACCGACCUCCUUAUGAGUCAUUUUCUUUACAAUGAAAUUCCGUUAGCUCUGUUUCGUCGCUUCCUCCGGCAAAAAGAGGAUAAUCGGUACCCCGCUGCUUGAUCAUUAAACCUGAAAGGGGAUUUUUUCUAAGAAAAAGCUAUCCAUCUAUAAAAGGCCAGAAGGAAUAUUUCCCUGGAUUGACUAGUAGUGAAGAUUAUACAUCAUAGGUGCGCCCCUUGACCCGAGGAAUUGAUCGACAAAUCAUAGGCACCAACUGGACCAGGGCAUCUAAAUUCUUGUUAAUAUCUUCUUCGGCAAUUGGCACCUGGUUAUAUCCUGAGUGGGCAUCCAAGAGGCUCAAUACAAGCUGCCGAAUCUACCAGUAGGUCAGCUAUCGGGAUUGGAUACUCGUCCUUUGGAGUGGCAAGAUUCCUGUUUCUGAAGUCAACACAUAACUGCUGACUUGCCAUUCUUUUGAAUCACUGGUUCAAUAUUUAGAUAUCCCUUGAUGUUCAACUUCAAGGCUAGGGCUGAGAUGCUCCGUUAGUGAAAGACCAACAAUCCAAUCCAAUAAUCUUCUCGUUUCAUCAAUCCAAGUCAGAAGUGGCUUCGAAUCAAGUCAUUUUAGUUCAUCCUUUUUUGAUCGAUGAGAAAGAAAAGAGAUAAGGGAUUAUGCCAAAGAAAAGAAAUAAGGGAUUAUGCGGCUCAAGUCUCUGAGCUUGAUUGCACAUAGGGUGAGAGAAAUCUACCUUCUACUAAGGUGUACUAUGUGUAGGGCCCUGCUAAGUCUUAAAGACCAACUUGAGGACUCAAUCCAACCGCUGACUGACUUCUCGAUGGCCCGAUAAAAGCAAUUAGAAAACAAAUAUAAGUAGUUCCACACACAGGGCUUUGUUUGAAAGACAGAGGUAUGUUCGUAAAGGUAGGCUAGGCGCAGCGCAAUCCUUAGAAAGCAUACCUAGAUUCAAAGCCCACUCUUUCCUUCAGCUUCCACCGAUGUCUUAUGCGGCAAAUAACCACCUAGGGAGUAGAAGUUUCUUAUUGUUUUCGGUCUUUUUUUCGCCUAGUUGUCUCUAUUUCGAUUGCAUUCUAUGUCAAUAGGUUUUUUUAGCUUUAUCGAUGUCAACAGGUUUUUUUAGCUUUAUCGAUAACUAUAACUAUCUCCUCUUGAUGGAAGAACAAAAAUCUCAUUUGAUUCGCUAGGAAUAGGAAAAAUUGGAAUAAGCAGAUGGGAGAUUGGAUUGGGACGAUCAGUUGGUAUUCGAAGAUCCUUUGGGCUUAAAUGAAAUAGACUAAUAAAGGCAUUCGCACAGAGCACACGAUUUGCUAACUAGUCAGGAUUCAGAUUUGGUAGUUUGGAUCAGUGAUAUCAUGACCUGAGCAGGCAUCCUUCACCUCGGAAUUUCCCAUAUUAUGAACAACCAAAGCUCACAUGGAUGCUGCUUUCUGUCUCGGAUACUGGAAUUGGCGCAACUGGAGCAAUUAUCCGAGAUGCAGCGGGCAUGUUCAUUGUGGCCUGCAGUGUUAUGCUCCCUCGGGCAAUUGACGCGACAUCAGCGGAAGCAAAGACAAUAUCUGUUGAGGGCGAGCCCCGGUCCCGAAGAUAUGUGAUUCUAAGUAUGUUAUCGAAGCGUUAAAGCGAGAAUUCACAUCUGUAAAAGAUUCCCACAUUCCGUGAGAUUCGUUGCCUACCAAAGAAAUGUGCAAAUAAGCCAUUUUAUUCGAUUUUGCCUCUGCUGAUCCUGCUCAUGCUUUUUUUUAUCAAUUGGUAAAGUCUCUCAGCCUUGCAAAGUGGAAAAAGAGAUGGGCAUCGGAUCCAUGUUUCGCUAAUCCCGAGCUUGAAGAGAAGUGAAUGCCCGUGGGGAAACGAAGAAGGCCUAGGGUUAUCUAUUGAAAACCAUGCAUGCCCAGAUCUAUUACGAAAGUUGGAAAAACACAAUGGCCAAAUGCACUUAUUUUCGAAGAAGAAUGAGGCAAUCGAUCAUCCGGACGAAAGGGAUAUGGAAAGUGGGCUUGUUCUUCACUCUAUAAGUAAAUAUAACAGGCAUCCAUGGUUAACAAGUAGAGACUUCGCCUUUCUCUAAAGAGCCCAAGAUGUCCUGCUAAAUAAGAUGUAUUGUGAGCACAAGAUGGACCUGAGCUCCUCUCUUAAACCAAGGCAUACUCUACUGGCUUUCCCUUUGCCAGGAUUGGAAAAAGAUAUAGAGCAUCCUUCUUGUCCUCGAAAGUAAUAGUUGUAUUAGAUAGUUCCUCAGUCAAUUUUUUUAGUUAUUGUUUUGUUUUCACUUCAAACUUAAAUGUUCUUUGAAUCCCCUCUUUAAGGCAUAUAAAAUUAGUACUCUUCCUGAGCUAGCUUAAGCAUAUCUCGAGCGAGUGAGUUUCCUUCCAUCAAGUUUUAAGCGAUCAAAUAAGGUCCUUGCUCUCGAGCCAAUGCCAAUACCAAUUGAGAGGGUCUAAACGAUGGAUUCAAAGGAGGUUAAGGGCAAAUGCAAUCUCUGAGCCAGUUGGUGAAAAAAGGGCAUCAAAGAAAGUGUCAGUUGGACUUUCCCUGCCAACCCUACCCAAAUUUCAUACCCAGCAGUUUUCGUGCCUCUAUUGAUAUUUCGUUCCUCUCCUGACGUCGAGCGACUGUCGUUCCCGGGUCUUCACUAUUUGAUAGAAGCCUACAUACCCUCUCUUCAAUCCCCCCUCUACCCUACAGGUAUAGGAGGCCUCGGUAUCUCGAUUUGCAAAGAUGGAUACCUACUCUGCAUAUUAUCUACAUCUACAGCACAGGUUUGUGCGUCCCCUUCGUAAAUGAUCUCAACAGGAUCUGGAGAAACCCCAGAUCCCCCCGAAUCAUCAUCUUCGGACCCCGAAUCAUCAUCCCACCUUUUACGCUUUCGCGAAGAAGACGGGCCUGCCUCCUUAACCCCAUCAUUUGCUUCUGUGCCUUCAAGGGAUUUCAUGGAAUGAGCCUCAGGCUCGACCACGGGAUCCUCGGGAUCUGGCGUCUCAGGCUCUCCUAGCUCCGCAUGACGAUAUUUUCUCGCCAGAUUUGCGGCGGUUCUAACGAACUCGCUUUCCUCUCCCUCUUCCAGGUAGGCUCGAAAGAUAUCCUGAAGAGUAUCUUCACCCUCGCCCUCUCCAUCCCAUAAGACCCGAGUUUGUGUGAAAUCGCGCAAAGACUGCCCUUCCUCUAAAGGAACCUGGGUUCCUACUUCCUCGAAAAUUGUCUCGACGCAGGAGCUUAGCUCCGACAGAAUUGCUUCAUGAGGGGCAGACCUAGCUAUUUCCUCGCGGAGGCCAGGCAAGCCGCCAACGGGAGGUUGGUCUAGGGGAAAGUCACCCUCGUUAGGCGCUUUGGCCAUGACGAGAACGUCGAGAUCCGCCCUUUGCGGGAUUGGAUUAGUUUGCUCGUUGAAAUGCCAUAAAGCGCGAACCAACAUCCGUGAUACGAAAACCAAAAUAAGAAUGAGGAAGAAAAAGAUAUCGUGAUGUAAGUCAAUGAUCAUGGGGCAUCUGUUUUUUAGGACUCACAAUUUCCUGCACUGUGCCUGUAGUGAUUUCAGAAUUCGACAACUUCGCCUACUAAAAGAUGAGUUACAAGAGCACAAUGCUUUUUGUGGCUUCCUGCUCGGCAGAGAAGCCACGCUGCCGGGGUGGUCCUGUCACCCGGAGAAGUUCUCUUUGUCUUCGAGCUUUUAUUCCUCAAUCCACUUAUUCAUUCCCUUCUUUCAUAUACCUCCCCACCAAUAGAUAGAGACAAAUGGGAAUAACCGAACCACGUCUACAAAAUGCCAGUACCAUGCAACUGCUUCAAAGCCAAUGUGAUGCUUCUUGGUCAGAUGACCAAGAUAUUGGCGAAUACCACAUACGAUCAAGAAAAGAGUACCUAUAAUCACAUGAAAACCAUGAAAGCCAGUUGCUAAGAAAAAGGUAGAACCAUAAAUACUAUCCGAAAUAGUGGAGGGUGCUUGGUAAUAUUCCAUUCCUUGAAAGCCAGUGGAUACUAGAGCCAGUGAAACGGUUGCUACUAAAGCGUAAACUGCUCGUUUUUCCUUCCCCGCGAGUAUAGCAUGAUGAGCCCAAGUUACGGAAGCUCCGGAUGAAGGGAGAAUAGGGGUAUUAAGAAGAGGGAUUUUCCAAGGAUCUAAAACCCCAAUCCCUUUUGGGGGCCAAAUACCUCCGACCUCUACCGUAGGUGCCAAAGAAGAAUGAGAAGAAGCCCAAAAAAGCAAAAAGGAGCAUAACCUCCGAGACUAUGAAGAGAAUAGAACCAUAUCGAGGUCCUAAUUGUACAGCUUUUGUAUGAUGCCCUUCCAACGUGGAUUCACGUAGAACAUCCCGCCACCAUACGAACAUGGUAUAAAGGAGAAAUAUUAGGACCAAACUGAGAAGUGUUGCACCCCCCUUCAAAUGAGUGCAUGUACAUCACACCUCUAACACUUUUUUAUUAAAAUCCGUCGACUUUCUAAAUCGUGAGGGUUCAAGUCAAGUCCCUCUAUCCCCAAUAAAAAGCCCAUUUUACUUCCUAACUAUUGUACCAACCUCUAUUUUUCAUUCAUGGUUCAAACAAGAUUCACUAUCUUUCUUAUUCUACUCUUUCACAAACGGAUCCGAACUGACUUCUUUGGAUCUUAUCCCAUUCAUACAAAUGAACAUAUUAUAGUAUAGGCAAGUAAUCCCUAUUAUUAAGUAAGUCAUUCACAAUCCAUAUCAUUAUCCUGAUAUUUACUAAGUCCAAUUUGAGAAUACUUUUUUCUUUUUUAGUCCCUUUAAUUGACAUAGAUACAAGUACUCUACUAGGAUGAUGCAUAAUAAAUAGUCAGGAUAGCUCAGUUGGUAGNNNNNNNNNNNNNNNNNNNNNNNNNNNNNNNNNNNNNNNNNNNNNNNNNNNNNNNNNNNNNNNNNNNNNNNNNNNNNNNNNNNNNNNNNNNNNNNNNNNNNNNNNNNNNNNNNNNNNNNNNNNNNNNNNNNNNNNNNNNNNNNNNNNNNNNNNNNNNNNNNNNNNNNNNNNNNNNNNNNNNNNNNNNNNNNNNNNNNNNNNAAAAACCUCGUGGCACCAGUUCAAAUCUGGUUCCUGGCACAGAAAAAAGGAUCUGGAAAAGAAGAUAGGAAUGGGGCACCAAGGAAGGAUUGUAGGUAGGGAUGCCCUUAGAUCCGUUCUCAAUAGCUUGUGAUAAGGCAAGAAAGCUAGUAGAUGUAUAUUCGUUUCUCAUGAUAAUGAGCGAAAAGGGUGGAAUUGUGACCCGAAUACCAACCCUUGCUAUACAUCCCGAGUGUGGUCUUCGAUGAAGCAUCAUCUUGGUGGUCAUCCCAAGCUGUAGUAUUGCCAGAUUCUGGAAACUUAGAAACUAGCUUGCAAGAAAAGAAGAAAAUCAAGUAUACGUUUGCUUGUUGGAUUGAGCACUCGUUUCAGAAGAACCUUCUUUUGGGAUAACUCGUUCAGGCAAUAUCUCGCUGUGGCAGUAAUAGCCCAAUGGCUUCUAGUUGUUUUUUUACCCUUCUGGGCUCUUUUCCCCCGGCGGUUAGUUUCAGCAUAAAAGGAAGAAGUCGGGUCCGGGCGGUUCGCCUUUUUGAAUGCAGCAGUGUUUUUGGCUUUGGCAAUACCAGCUAGCUAGCUACUUACUUGUGUGGGAGUCCUAUAAAGAAAAGCCUGAGUUAUAGACUGACUAAAGAAAUCCACCUAAGCCGUAAGUUUUUGUUACAGUUGGCACACCUCCUUGCAAACUCGACAAUCUGAUUCUAGUAGAAAGUGGACUAAGUCUUAAGAGAGAUAAGCCGGUCUUUAUACACUGGCCCUGCUUCGAAUUCAUUCAGUGGCUAGAUGCAUUGUAAGCAAUUCCAGUCCCAGUUGCUGAGGUGGCGUAGUCACCCUACCUAAGUAUUGAACAAAACCAACCAUUUGUAUAAUAUUAUCCUAUCUUGCAUAUUAAUUAAGACCACUUAUUAGAUCAAGGUUGGCAUACAUAGCAUAGGAAGGUGGAGAUCUGAAGUAAUCUAUAUGUCCCUCAGCUAGUCAUCCAUUUCUCUGGAUAUGAAGUUUACAACAUAAAAAAAUGACCCUUUUCAUAAUGAAAUCCAUUACAUGCCAUCCAAAGAACUCUGAUCUGGAUUACCAGCUUUGGGAUGGAAGGACGGAUCGAUCGACCAAGCAACAACGAUCCCUUUACGAUGGUCAAGUGCGAAGGUCCCGAUCGGAUUGCCGAUCUGCCAGUGUUGUUUGACUGAUUUUUUGCAUCUCAAAACCAUUGAUGCUGACCUGUCACUGCUCAAGUGAUUUUCCUGCAUGGUUCUAGGAACCAAAAGAAGACUUUGGGUAGGUCAACGAUAGAUUCUAUGUCUAUAAUGGAACGUAGGUUCUUUUUAGGAGGAAAGCUUAGAAGGAUUCUUUUCAGAGCGUAAGAACCAUCGAAGAGCAUGGGAUUGGUAUUGCUGGCAGGGACUUUAAAGUGAGAGCUUGAUCACUAAACCCCUGCUGCUUUCGAUCAUUCCUGCUAAAGCAGUUGGCAAUGACUCAUUGGAAACUUCUAUUGGAUCUGGGAGAAGAAGAAAUCCAAUCAAUGGGUAGGUAGUCAAUUUCUGGCGAAAGCACAAACCUUUUCUCUUACUUAAGGCGAUAAAAUCCAUUCAUUUCGAUAAUAAUUUGUUUGAGAUGUGUUUUACCGAGAAGGUAUAUGGUUUACGGUUCUAAGCCGUUGAGUUCGUGUUUUGGUAGUUGUUGUUUUGAAGGAUGGCGGAUCCAGAGUUGAAGGAUGGCGAGAAUCAUAAUUACAAGAAGGCAACUACGCGAUUCAAUAUCAUUUUUGUAAGAAUGGAAGCAAGACAUAAAAAUUGCUAAGCUGCUGUGACCAGAGGUCGGGAGGCAAAGACGAAAGGGAUGCCCUUUCUCCAUCUUGACCGAAUGCGUUAUCUGUUGUCUCUAUUCCUAUUAACCCUUGGCCGCGUAUACCAUUAUCACGAGGGCGAUACACAGAAAAAAACCAAACCAUCUGUGGAACCGUUCGAUGAACGUAGGUCGGUCGGAAAGAAAGCGCGGUGUAGCUGGCAUCAGCAUCUCUUGUCAGGUUCGCACGCACAAGGGUGGUGAGUAGGUCUCUUUACGUGUCCCGUGAGGCAAGGAAUUCUUUGACCAAUGAUAUCAUGGUAUCAGAGUCGCCGAUCGAGAUUUCUCAUGGCUACCCAUUAUUUUCGCUUGAAAGAUCUUCACAUGUAGGCGGAGCCGUCCCUUUUGAAAAGUGGAUCUUUAGUCCAUUCAUUCUAAGUACUUUAUUAUUUAUUCUGUAGAAUAAGAAGGUUUCACAGGCAUGUGCUUCAUGGCGAUAAGUCGUAAAGCAUGGAUAGGUGGAAAUGCGCUAUAAAGAUUCGGCAUCGCUCGAUCAAACAAAGGGAAAAAUCAUCAAGAAUCUCAUCUUGCUCUGAAUCAUCUACCAAGGGUUCACUGUCAAUGCAAUUUGAGUUGGCCAACUCCGGUGCCUCUAAGUCAGAAGUAUCUCUAUUGGCAAGCUCUCAUUGACAUAAUCCGGUGUAGGUGUAGGGAGCUGACUCUCAUGUGGAUCAAGAAAUAUCUCCGUAGUGCUCAGGACAGGCUGUGAGCAUCUUAUCUGCUUGGAUCAGGUAACCGCUUCAUUUCUUUUCAGAAGCUCAAACACAGUGUUUUCCAAUAUAGAAGCGGAGUAGUUCUUGUGCAAUCUAGGCAUAGGGCUACUAGAAUCCAUCACUAAAAGAGGAGUUUUCCGAGCUCUAUCGACACAACAGGACUCUAGAUAUUGGCAACAAAAGGGCACUUACCCCUAAACUAGAUUACUCUUCUUCUUCCUAUGAUAAAGCGGGGGCUGAAAGGGACUCUUUAAAGUACUUCAACGUUAUCACUGGACUUUCGUGUCAAUCCAACUGGAGGAGGGAAAUCGGGAGAAUAAAGAAGUCUUGCACGAGGGCGGCCUCUUUCCAUGCCUUCAAAUCCAUUUGCCACACUUUCAGAUCUCGGAUAUACAAUGAUGAAUCCUGACGAUCUACGAUCAUAGAACGCAGUAAUAUGAAUGUCUCUCACGAGCCCCAAAGAUUCAAUCAAGUAUGCCUGCUUUGUUGGCACAUGGAAAGGUAGAACGACCUUCCGCCAUGUCAACCGCUCACUAGGCUUCUUGCUGCGGUGAAGUUGCUUCAUCACCCGGCUCAACAUCAGCCUCAUCCCCCCAUUUUAAGCUUUGGUUAUAGUAUCCUUUAGUUCCACUUCUUCAGCGAUCUCUCCCGCAAUCUUCUUUCCCCACUCCUCAUCCAAGUGAGGAGCUACCCGAGAUCAUCGAAACCCACCACACAAACCCUAACUGGCAAAACCGAUCUACGAACACCAAGGGAUAUUUAAAAAAAGAAGUAUGAAUCCGUGUCUUCUCUGCCAUUUGAUUUCCUUCACCACUAGCACUAGCCCCGCGAGCUACUAGAGUAUAGCAACUUUCGCUACCUUGACUCUUCUUGUUAUUAUCCAGACCCAUCAAGUCAUUCAAAAGCAAAGAAAGAAAGAUGAAUAAGCAAAGCGAAGGCCAAGCCUGAUCUCCCUUUCCCUUGAUAUGGUGGACUCCUAAAAUAGGCUUUCUUUGUUCGUAUGAUUUUGCAGAAUACUAUAAUAAGCCACUCCUGAAAAUGGGCUGGCUACUCGAACCAAAUAUUGAACUUGCUCUUUAGCAUAGGUAGACUUCACUACCUGGAUAGGUCAGCCUCGUUCCCAUUUCUCUGGUCCUAUUUUUUUUUUUUUGGCAAGUACCAUUCCUGCUAUUCACAUUGAUUGAGUACUUUAUAGUUUUCUUCUUGAUGGAAGUGUCAAAUACUUAGUAGGAAGUCCCGGUGGGUAAUCACCAAAUGUUCUAGUACAAGUACAUCCAGUUCGGGUGGUCAUCUAGUAUGGGACCUAAGAGAAGCCCUUUUUGAAUCCUUUUAUUAAGCCAUUGCUAAUCCCGUAAGGCAAUCCUUCAACGUUGUAGAAAAGAGUUCAAUACAAAAGCACACAAAGGCUUUGGACUAUGAAAGGCUACCUUUAUCAUGCAUGAAUAAGUCCAGGAGAUUAUGUCCUCAACAAACCUAUCUACUACUAAAUGACAAUUAAAGGGACGCCAACCAUUGGAGGUGAUACUGGUGAUGGUAAUGGUUUAGAUUCUUCUCUUUUUCCUGGGUACAUAAAGAUAAGAAGAAGGCAAUGAAAAGCCCUUAGAAAAGGCUAUGAAGAAACUGAUCCACUAUUUGUUUGAAACCUGUCAUCCACGUUAGAAAGAGAGCCAUGAAAAGCAUAGAUCCUCAAGGAAAGGAAAAAACACCACUUCGUCUAUUUACGAUUCCCAUAAACCAGGCCGUGCUUUCUUUUAUUUAGUAAGCUCAGCCGAAGAGCCCUGGACCGGUAGCACCUGCAAAUGAAACAUGCAUGCCUUUCGCUGCGCGCCUUUACUUGCUUGAGAAAUCAAACAAUGCAUUUCUUCUCAACAUAAGCAUAUACCGGUAUUUCUCUCUAGCCUAUACUUGACCUUGCGUACAAGCCUAUUGUCCUAUCGGUAUGCCUAUGUGACCCAUAUGUGCUAAACCGGUACUUGUUACUUACUUCUAUCUAUUAAACGUUACCGGUACUUAGUUACCGUGACUUAAUCAUGCUUUGUACUAAACCUUACUACGUAGUUCAAGCUAUACUGACCUUUCCAUGUUUUGUACUCAUCACUUGCCUAUGAGCUUACCUGUGAAUACUUUGUCCAGCAGCCCUUGUUUCUAAGCACCCAUCUCUUGCUUUGCUUAAACUCCUCCUUGCAACCAGAAACCUAUCGCCCCUCUCUUUUCAAAACAAACAACGCGGAGCGCCUUGUGAAGUGAAAAGAUGAGCUAUGAUGACUUGGCUUCCUUUCUUCUUUUCCUUGUGCAAGUCAACUGUUCCCUGGCACACCUUCAGUUCAGCUGUGACAUCUUGCACUUGUAAUAUCACUUGCUUGCCUUUAUGCUUGAGUUUUAGCAUUCCUUUACUCCAAGUCAACUGCCAUUUGACCAAAACUUGACAACCAGUCAAUGCCUAAAAUAAGAUCAUAACCAAGUACAUUGUAUAGUUGUUAAGCAAGUAGUGCUUUGAAGCAAGAAUCAAGUAGUUGUUAAAGAGAACCUAUAGCAAGAAAGGAGAAUCAAGCCUAUUGCUUGCAACGAGAAGAUUAGAAGAAAUCCUAUUGCUUAGAAUCAAUGCAUAUGCUUCAUAUCAGGAGAGACAAGUCAGAAAGGAUAGUAAAGCCUGCAGCUCUAGUAGUGCAAACUUUGAUCAAGCUAUCAAGUACUUAAUCGUUACCGAAGAACUCCUUAUAUUAUAUAAUAAUAAUAAUGCUUAUGCCUAUCUAUUGUUAAAGACUUACUUUGCUAGGGCAGUUCAUUCAAAGCACAUACCAUUAUGGCUAGCUAAAACGAAAGAAUGAGAGUACAAGGUAUGGGUCUACGCUUCCAGCUUGCUCUAGAAAAACUUAAAUUGGAUCUCUCUCUGGUGGGAGCCUGCCAAGCAGGAAAGCUUGUUAUAGUCGUGUUUUAUUCAUCUCUUCCCCUCUCCGCAGACAAUCACUAUAACUACUUCAACCUUCUUCCGUGCUUUUGGUUCAGGAAAAACAGUGGCAAGAAAUGUUGAUUUCCCUUUAACGGGUGUACAGGACCCGAGAAAUAUGCAGGUUUCUAAUAGUGCUCACUCCAGUCGAGUCCCGGCACAGUCCGAAUGGAAGUUCAUUCAUUGGAGUAGUGCCAAGCAAGAAAGUGCUCAAAGGUAUCAUAGUUCAUAGGUAUUAACAGGAUCCUUCUUGCAUCAAUUGGAUUGAAAAUUGACGUGAUUAGCUGCUCGUCCCAAGUACCCGAAGCAGGGUCAAUCAACUCAUUUACCUUUGUGAGAAGUGUACCUCCCCUUUCCGUAGUGAUUUUACUAUUGGGACUUCCUGGAACCCAAGGGUCGUUCCAUAUGUUAAUUUGCUCUCCUGUUCCAAUUCUCCUAAUGUGUCUACGUUUAUAUGCAUAUCCAUCUUUACUGCACAAAGCCCCGGCCCAGACCUCUUAUUUUUGAUUGAGUGAAUGCAUUAAUAAGCCACCAGAAUGUUAUCCGUUAUUAAACGACCGGGUACAACAAAAGCACUCUGUGUUUGUGAAAUUACCUCAUCCAAUACUGUACGGAACUGAGAUAUUUCCUGCGGGGAUCUCACCUUUGGGAUUAAAACAAUAACAGUUCUAUUAAUGAUCUGUGGGAGGUAGCCGCUGUUUAGGAAACCAAGGACUGCAGCCGUUUUCUCGCAGAGCCGAGUCGGGCUAGUAAGAAGUAGCUACUUUAUGCAGCUUUGUAUCUGGUCCGGGACCUCAUCAUAGCAAACCAUCUACGCAUUUUUUAAACCAAUGGUCAAUCAAACAACUUUCCUCAGCCUUCUUUUCUGGUUGAUUGAGCAAGCCCUGAGACCGAGAGGGAUGCACUCCUGCAUGCAAAGGAAGAGAGGUGUAUAGAAUAGAGCCGAGAAUAUCACCUAGAACGUGCUUUUGGUACCAUGGAACGCAGUCCCUGUGACCCUAUAACCGGCGGAUCGAUCCUUGUAGGCAGCCACUCCAUUGGUUGAGAUGCAUCUACUGUCUCAUCUUGGCUAUCUACUAGCAAACCGCCCACAGGUUCUUGCAUAGUAUCACGAGUCAUGUUAACCUCUCCCUCCUGGUGCUGAAGAAUAGAAAGAAGCCAAACCCACCAGGACUUCUGUUAAAAUCAGAAAGAGAUCCGCCCACAGAUUGGCAAAACCACACUCCCCCGUUUCCAGCUUAGUGAGGGGAUUCCUUUAAUGCUUUCCCUUCAAGGGAAAACCUCUGAAAGAAUUUCCAUAUUGACCUUGGACAUAUAAGAGUUCCGAAUCANNNNNNNNNNNNNNNNNNNNNNNNNNNNNNNNNNNNNNNNNNNNNNNNNNNNNNNNNNNNNNNNNNNNNNNNNNNNNNNNNNNNNNNNNNNNNNNNNNNNNNNNNNNNNNNNNNNNNNNNNNNNNNNNNNNNNNNNNNNNNNNNNNNNNNNNNNNNNNNNNNNNNNNNNNNNNNNNNNNNNNNNNNNNNNNNNNNNNNNNNNNNNNNNNNNNNNNNNNNNNNNNNNNNNNNNNNNNNNNNNNNNNNNNNNNNNNNNNNNNNNNNNNNNNNNNNNNNNNNNNNNNNNNNNNNNNNNNNNNNNNNNNNNNNNNNNNNNNNNNNNNNNNNNNNNNNNNNNNNNNNNNNNNNNNNNNNNNNNNNNNAGAAUCUACAACGCACUAGAACGCCCUUGUUGAUGAUUAUUUACUGCGACUGCAUCCAGCUCGAAUAAUGUGAUAUCUCACACCGAGUUCAAAGAUACUUAACCCUUCCUCCUCUUACAAAUACUACAAAAUGUUCUUGUAUGCCCAAUACCUGGUAUAAGCAGUGAUUUCAAAUCCAGAAGUUAAUCGUACUAAUUUCCUUUACGUAAGGCAGAGUUGGGUUUUGGGGGUUGAUAGUGGAAAAGUCGACAGAGAAGGAUCAACAUAUCCUUGUUUAAAUAGGUCCACUAGACCUUAGCUACUUAAUUUCAUGGUAUUUAGCACGGACAAUAGAAGAUUGGAAUGAUGGUAUCAAUGUGCCGCAUUGAAAUGAGAGUGGCCAUAUCGCUAUCAAUCAAGGUGGGCCAGAUCAGCCAUCUCCACAGAUUGCUAGUUUGCUAAAAACAAUCCAGCUUUUGCCAAAAGAAAGCCAAACUCUCAUCCAGAUGCAUCUCGAUUCACAUUUCUAUAUGAUAAUAUGCACGACCGAUUCUCGUAUCUGCUGAUAUAAGAGAUUCUUUCAAAAGAUAACCCUUACCCCUAACCCCUGGGUGGGCGAAAGAUGGAGACAAUACUGCCAUUGAAGCGCAAGAGUGAGCAGCAGUCCGGUCAGCCCUUGCUUUCUCAACUUGAGCAGGAAACUUCCAACCAAAUAGGAGGGAGGGGCACUCUCAAAUAGGAAUGCAAACAUAAAACGCGUGCUCUUGAGUGUCAAUUCCUCUUCUGACCGAAGUGAAUAACAAACAUCCCUUCCAUCUGGACACUGAAUAAUGAGAGGAUCAUAGAAGUUAUCGGAAUCCGGGGCUAGAGUCUUUGGAUGAACAUCCACAGAUGACCGAUUCCCUGCGCUAGCAAGUAUUGGAUUGGAGUGGGGGUUAGUUGGCUCACCAUAUGGUAUAGAUCGAUAGAUAUAUUUGAUACGUCCUAUAACAUGGAGAUGGAGAUAGCCAAGCCCCUUUCUCGAAAGGCAAACCCUCUUUAUCAUCCAACAUAGGAUCUCCCUAUGGAAUACCACCAUUGUCUUUCUCCAUCUCACUCGUAUAUAUCGGUAUAAAUAGCUCAGCUCACGAAAUAGAGCGAGCAAGAGCUCGAACUUGGUAAGAAAGUUCGGAUAAGUCGACUCGACUCCUCAGUGCAGCGUACACUUGCUUCAGCAAAACGAGGCUCAUCCAUUUGUUUUGAUCCGAAUCACACUCUAGACCAGCUCUUCUUAUAGAGAAGGAACUCCUCUUUGACAGUCAUACGAGAGGGAAGAGACUCAAAGUUGAUGAGAAUAGUCGAUUUGACCGGUAUCACGAAUAGCAGUUUUAGUAGAAAAGGGCGUUGAUGAUUGAAAGGAUUUCUCCUCGAACCACUAGUAACUAUGUCAGCUUUUGUCAUUCUAAUGAUAUUGAAUCGGGUCAAUAUUUGGAAUAACAAUAUCUGAUCUAUCAAAUCGAUUCAUCCUUUUCCAUUGCAUUUUUCCAUUGCAUUGAAUAGUAUAACAUAGGAAUUUGAUCCAAACAAACUCCGAAUUGGGAUUUCUUAUUGGAUGAGGAAUCCCAUUGCAUUUUUCAUCCUUUUCCAUUUUUCUUCUUUCAGGCAGUUUUGGCUCGCAAUAAAGCUAGGGUCCUGAUCGAGCAAGACUACAUCCUAUCUAUCUACCUCUCCAAACACAAUAUCUUGAGUACCUAUGAUGGUGACUACAUCUGUUGGCAUGUGAUGUUUGGACAUAGAAUCGAGUCCUUGUGAAUGGGCAAAGCCAGGUGCUCUUAUUUUACAACGGUAGGGACGAUUACUCCCAUUACUGACAAGAAAGACACCAAAUUCACCUUUAGGUGCUUCAACUGUGGUAUAGGUAGAAGGAGCUGGUACGGAAAAACCUUCUGUAUAAAGUUCGAAAUGGUGAAUUGAGGUAGAGUAGACCGAUGAUCCGGUAGUCAUUUGGCCGGCUAUGGAAAGAAAAAGCUUGCAUCUGCUCCCCCUAAACUAUAACGGGUCCCAUCUCUGUCCAAACCUAACGUGGUAGUUUCCCAUCAUAAGGCUUUCCAUCUAUAGAUUGAGCCAUUACCCACCAAGGACCCCAUUCGUUCAGAACUCAGUCGAAUGCUUCUAUAGAUAAGGCGGAACGUCCUUAGUUCAGCAUUAUAGCACAUAGUCUUCGACGCUACUACAGCGCUUCGCUAACUCGAAGCGCCUCGCUAUGAGAAUGACGCGUCGCUAAUGCUCGGCUAAGUCGUCGAACCCUCGUGCUGACCAUUCGCUUUCUCAGUAGCGAAAGCGCUUCUCUUUUCCCCUUAACUUCAUAAAGUAUUUGGAAAGAAAAGAAAGAGAUUCUUGGUUUUAUUGCUCCCGCUUCCUCAUCUGCGCUCGUCAAGCCAACUUUGCUUUUUGGGAGGCGGAAGAGGGGUUAAAGCGGACAUGUCAAAAUGACAGCAUCGAAGAUAUCUAUAUACACAGGAACGCUUAUUCCGUACUGUGUUCCGGAAAAAGUAGCCUACUUGACAGAAAGGGCAGGCACUCUCGGCUCGGAGGUAGGCACUCUCGUCUUUCAACCCCACCAUCACUUUGAAUUUAGUGGGGCACUGUUUACUUACAACCUCUACGAGUUGCAAGUGAAUGGGGCCGGUGCGUGGUGAACGGAAGGGUUCAUCAAGCCAUUUAUCGCCUUAACCCCUAAACUAAAUAGGAAGAGGGGUACUUGACUAAUAGGGGGCAAUUGCAUUGCACCUGACUGUGAGGGACCUCUUGAUACCUUAUGUUCACUUCCUAACUAGUAGCCGGUUUCCUGUCGCGGAAGCCUUUUCCCAGUGCGCGGAGCCCCAAUGAGGAAGGUGUUAGUGCUUUCUCAUGGGGUCAAUAAUGCUAAUCCCUCUUUUUGUGCCGGGAAGAAGAUAAGAAAAGGCGAAGCCUUCUCUUGGUUUCCCAACCUGUUGCUUCUAAAGGCUGCCCUCUCUCGGCUGGAUUUUGGUCCAACCUACUGCGAGGAUCCCGUAUCCCGUACAUCGUCUUUCUCCCUCCUGGGUUCCCGUGGUUCCUAUGCCGCCGUGUCUCCCGGUCCUUUUCUUUUAGUGCUUCGACCCGAAGCGAUAGCUUGACGCGUUUUCCGUGGAUAAGAUGGCAGUGCUCCAGCUCACUAAAGAAUGGGACGGCAGUGGUCCGCUGGAAAGCUCGUUCUGAUCCUGGACGUAGUACAUUGGAAUCCUGAAGCACCACCACGAACGCUACCGCGCGUGCGCCUGCGGUGCGGUAAGGCACCACCCUGUUGUGCCAGUAGCCAACUCCGGCGUGUCAGCUUAGUUAUCCUCAUCAAGCCACAACCUUGAUGUCUAGCUUCCCAACUGGUAGACGGUUCCCUUUCCCCCGGAUCAAUGAAGAAGGGAGAUGUCAGUUGAUUCUUCCGAAGAACCGGAAGCGAAGCGCUAUGCCGGGGCGAGGGGACGGGAAAAGAAACAACUCUGAAGAAAGAUAUUAGGACUCCCAAUGCUUCUCCACGCCCAACGAGAUGCGCCAACCUCGGGAUGCUUUACUCCUAACCCCACGGCGGUUCCGAGAUGGAGCUUAAUCUGAGUCACGGUUAAGAACGGCGAUGAUCUACGUUUCACACGGCGCACGAUUCUAUGGAUAGUUUCAUUCGAGAUCGUGAUGGAGGACAUAGCUUACGAUCAUCGGCUUUGAUCAUGCCACUAGGCAUUUGAUUAGGACAUUGCACAAUGAUCCGAACACUUUGUCGCAUCACUUCGAUACGGAUACAGUAACGAUCAUAGCGAUCUCCUCUGGUACCUACUGGUACGUCAAGAUCCGAUUGGUCAUGAACAUCGUAAGGUGCUGCUCUUCGCGAAUCCCAGCAUACCCCAGGUUGGGAUGGGUAGGCCCACCACUUCACUUUUGCACUUUCACUUAGGCCCGGGCCAAGUCAGUGAGGGGACCCUGUCGGGCUCCUUCCCCCCCCCCCCAAAACAAAAUGUACGUGGGAGUUUCCCUUCAUACGGCUCGAAUCAUUCUCAGAUGCCCUGAGAGGCAUCUUUCCUUAUGAUCUGGUGGUUGACACGCGCGCAAACGAGCACCAGCCGCAACAACAAGGAACUAUGACCAAUAGAGUCAGACACAGAGCGUCAUACUUCUUUAUCUUGUGAUGGUUGAGGAGUUUCUUUCUCAGAGGGUGCGGGACGCUUGCAGAGUCUGUGCCUUCCGUACCACCACAAGUCGUUCUUGGGCAGAUCCCACUCCUAAACAUAAGGGAGGGAUAGGGGGAAAGGGGCCCUAAAAUCAUAUAAAUAGGGUUGUAGAAAGACCACUUUCAUUCGACGUUCCGGGGCGCCUGAUUCGAUCGACGAAUUUGGCGAGCUGAUCCGCUUUGAUCCAGGAGAAAGCCCAGUCAGCCACCUUUUCGGUGCAGGUCACGUGACCUACAGCUCGGCCUUUGCUUUUUGAGACUUCCUCUACCCACAUCUCUAUGUGCCCGCAGCACUUUCAUAUGGAGAAAGAUGGGCUUACCAUGUUCCAUCAAUAGCACCUAACCUAAGCCGAUUUUGGCAGACGGUGCUCCACCCCGGUGAACUCAUGCGGUUCCGACGUGCCCAGAGGCCAGAGGCAAAUCCGUUCACGGUCCGUAGGACCAACACCACUCGAAGGUUGAUGGCCCGCGCCGCCUAGAAUAGGAAUCUUUGACUGGGAUUACACACAUUCGCUCACUUACGUUGUCCCCCCUCAGCUCACCCUAGCCCCGGGUACGUCGUCUCCAAGGCUUCACACAAAAUCUUCACUGACAACAUAUGCAUGCUUUUGUAGGGUUAGGCAGAACCGUUGUUGCCUGAUGGGAACUUCCCCCAUAUUGCUAUCAAUGUCUUCAUGUCGCAUGACCUCUUAACAUUACACCACUGAAUCCCCAAUCCUUUGCUUGCUGUGCAGUGACAGUACCAAUAUCCACUAAUCGUUGUUUCCAGAUAGGAUUGCCGGUUGACAUCUCUUCUAAUUCGUCGAUACGAGAAGCAAAUUGUUGUGUGGAGGAAUCAAUAUCUCGACAUAAGCCAAGAGGCAGAUCUUGUGCCACUCCACCAGGUCGUAUGAAACUGGCAUGCAUCCUGGCUCCCGGGACUCUUUCAUAGAAUUCCAACAAUUUCUCCCGCUCCUCAAAAGCCCAAAGGAACGGAGUUGAUGCUCCCACAUCCAUAGCAUGAGUAGUUGAAGCAAGUGAAUGAUUCGAAAUUCGAGUUAUUUCACAGAAUAACACUCUUAUAUAUUGAGCUCGUAAUGGUACCUCACAAUUCAAAAGUCUCUCUACGGCUGAAGAAUGAGCUUGUUCUUGGGCCAUCGUAGAAACAUAGAUAGGGUCAACGACGGAACGAACAACAAAACUUUACGACAGCUUUUUCGUACACGUUCACUUGCAUCACAUACACAAGUGCUCUCUGAACCGUGCAAUAAGGUCACCCAUAACACGGCUCUCCCACUGGAUUUACCUUAGCCCCGGGCCAUGCUAUUCCAUGAUAUUGGAAAAAGUUGACUAAUUAUUAUCAUCGUCUUGAAAGUUGGGCGCCUUUUGAAUAUGAGUGGGGCUCCUAGUCUAGGCGGCGCCCUCGUGGAGCCAAACCGAAGGAAGAGCAAAAGGGCGAGGCCACACCCGACUUCGAAUAGGAGGGGGGCUUAGCUCUGGAUCCUGCCUGCUUGCAGAAAUGAAUGGAUCAGAAAGGGGGCUGGGUUCUAUUUCCGGGCCGGGUAGGAGGUGAAGGCCAGAAGAAGAAGAGAAGUGCGCCUUCCCGGUAAGGAAGAGGAUAAAAAGGUGUUGUCAUCUAUCUCGACCUGUUUCCCGAGGCGUUGGAAAUGAAGACCGGCUCAGAGAAUCACUGGCGUGCUUUCUCUCCCCCAUCAUUUCGCCAACAAAGAAGUCAUCCUUGACUUGACGAUUGACCAUUUCAUCCCUACCGAGCCGCCUCUUAGAAGUAUUUACCUCUGCCUUUCUUUUUUUAGAACAUACCCUUCAAAUACAAGAAAGAAAAGUUCCUCGUCUGUGAUUUAAUCGGCCCUAAGGGAGUUUACUCGACCCAUUCUCCAGUCUCCCGCACUGCUCAAGUGUGCGACUCCGUAUGAGGACCUCCUUCCCUUUUGCUCUGCCCACUCUCCGUUCACACGGUUAUCAAAGCGGAGGAAGGGCGGGCAGCAGGUACCACGAGCCCUCUGUCCCACACAUCUACCAAGAAGCAAGUGUAGUUCACCGGUUCCACCGAAUGCUCCUAUCUCUCGGCAAAGAUCGUGUGAGUGUGCAGUUAUGCUUCGGAUGCUUCGCCAUGGAAUAGAUCUACUCAGUUCCCCUUCUUUUCCGGUGCACUCACUUUGUAUCUCCGACACACAAGGAAGGACGCGGUGGGAAGAAAGCUGCCCAAGCCUUUGUCCGGUCGAUCAUUCCGCUGGCAUCUUGCAUUCACGUCUCCGUUUCACUGCCGCUCGGGAAUGUAGUUGUAGAUACGUGAGUCUUAGUGGGUCAUUGGCUCCACCUCUUAUCUCCUUCUACGACAUGUUGUAGUCGUCGCCAUAUUCAAUAUGUCACUUAGUCAUAUCUGCCUCGCAGCAGGUCAGAACCUCCGAAAGAAAGGGAGGGAGGACUUCAUUCAGUGACCCCGCGAUCGCCCUCUAAACGAUCAAAAUAAGGUAAAGCUUGAAGAUUAGUUUUGUACUCGAUUAAUUUCUCAGUCCCUCUAAUCGGGUGGGCGCCGACCGACCGGAUCCCCCUGAAAACCGUACGUGCGGGUCUCCCAGCAUGCGGCUCACGCCAUUUGAGGUGGCCCAGCCCAGCAUUCAUUCACAAAUCCUGUAGUGAAAUUGAGACUGCUCGACCUCGGAAGCUAAUUCGCGUGUAGGCAGCGCUGUCUUAAUACCGUUGACUGUAUCUAUUCAUUGAUACAUUGGCUCGCUCCCCCCCUCUUUUUUCAAGAAUGAAUGAGCCGCUCGGACCUUCCAUUUCCGUCAAAUGACCCGGCUUCCCCUGGCUCUUCCACCGUCCGGGCUCCCUUUCCUCCCUAUGCUCCCCCGACGUAGGCCCACCACGCUUCGCGCCUGCGGCGUUUUCGCGAGACGGUCUUUGCGAGUAGUGCCAUCCUCCCCGCAGGCUGUCUGUAUGGGUGGGUUGUCCCUUGCUGCUACGUUCUGUUAGGCGCUAUGAAUUACAGGAAAUUCAGUGGUUGACUUGGACAGCAGGCGGGUUACACGUUCCACUGUGCGGAGAUGUGAGGUGCAGGUGGUGAUGAUCACCCCGGGGUAUGCGCUAGCGCCCUUGACGGGCACUCCAGGACCCGCCUACGCUCGUGAAAACCCAGGUCGGUCCUCCGACCAGAUGUGUGGAUAACGAGGCCACCUUCACAACCUUCUCCCUUCUAUCUUUAUCCAAAGUCAGGUAGGGCGGUUCGCUUGAGUUGCUCAACCGUCCCUUUGCCCGGUGCUCAUGACGCGCUACGGAACCUCCACCGUGCUAGCGGCAUAGGAGCCUACUCAGCGUCAGUGGCUUCGUGCCGCACUGGAGUGAUCCAAUAUGUGGUUCCGCAUGUUCCACCACUUCUCCGUUCAUUUCCAAUACUGAUCGUGAAACACCAUGAGCAGCAGGAUGUUGAGGUCCGGAAUUCGAAGUGAAAUUCUUGAUUUGCCCGUUCCUAGUCGUCAUGGGAAAGAAAUAAGAAAUAAAUAAGAAAGAGAUUAUUCCCCUAGAGCUUGUCCAGUACCACCAGUACUCAAACUGCAUCUCCGCGCGUCUACCUGGCGCUUUUAUUAGCCGCCUUGCAUGCAAGCGAAGCGCUAUUGGUGGCAAUUAAUAGCUCACUGAGCGAUGAUUGAUGCAGUCAGCCAGUGCCCUCAAUUAUUCUAUUCCUGAUAGAAGGAUCAUGGCGCCCCGAAAGCAUUCCAUCCAGCAGCAGCAUCUCCUUCAACCACGCGAGGAAAAAUUGAUGUUAGCUACAUUCGAGCGUUCACCACACAGAAGCGAUCUCGAACACUACCUAUGAUAAUAAAUCCAAAGGAAAGGUCGACAAAAUGAUUCAAUCUGACUUUAUCGGUAUUCUGGAUUGAGUAAAAAAGGGAUAUAUGAAGUUCAAGGCCUUGCCAAAACUGUCAUGGCCCUAUUAUGUAUAGGCCGUACUAAGCCAAUAGCGAAUAACAAACUCUUUCCUGCUCCCUCGACCUUAAUUAACUCCCCCAUCCUGCCAAGCCUCAGCUGCCAGCCCAUUGUAUCUAAGCUCACUGCGGCAAAUUGAUACAAGUAGCUAAAGAUCUCGCAUCCGACAUCUCCAGCCGAACGGUUAGGCAACACUAGGGUGCCUGGGUCAAAAUUCCGCUUACCAAACAAGAUGUCGAGAGGCGAACUCUGUAAUUCCCCUCCUGCAAAAGUGAUAGCGGCUGUAGCAUCCGUGUGGAAGAGGGUAAGCUUUCGGCAACACCUUUUUCAGAUUGGAAAGGAUGAAUACUUGUGUUGGGUCCUGCAGACCAGGAUAGCCUCAGAUCAAAACCUAAUAAAUGUACCUGGGGUUGAUCAUAUUUUUUGGGCAAUAAGUAUUCAGGAAUUUGAGCGCUUAUGUAGCUAAAAACUCUGCCACCUGAAUACUUGAUUCAUUAAGGUCGUCACCCUAUACCCGGAAGUCUCUAUCGUUUUCUUUGUCUGUUAAGAUUCACAGGGUUGGGACUCCCUAAAUCAAACUGCAAUCGUUGUUUAUCAACCACUCACGACGACACCGAGAUCUUCGACUUAGCUCCCACAGGUCAUCCACCCGGGGCGGAAGAUAACGAAAGGGAGACAAAGUCCUAACUAAAUCAACACACAAUAACCUCAACCUUCUACCCAUUCCAUCCAUCAUAUCAGCCGAGUCGAGGAGAUUAGUUCUUAUCUAUAGAUAAGGCAAGAGAGAACUUAUGACCUCGCGGAUGGAGAGGGAUUCGAACCCCCGAUAUUCCUAUCAAUACUUCGGUUUUCAAGACCGACUCUGUCAACCGCUCAGACAUCCAUCCCUGCGCUCGCCCUCCCUAUCUAUCUGCGCGCUGGCAGGUAGGGGCAACUCUAUGUGAUUCGCUACGCUUGCUUGCGCCCCACCCCGUAAGCUGACUCUAUUGCCUAGCGGUUAGCGACAAUUUUCCGGUAGUACGAAUCGCUACGCUUUGCUUCUUUCUAUAUGAUAAUAUGCACCGUCGGUUGCUGCGCUCCCUGUGGGUAAUAGCAAGAGAGUGAAGAACGAACGAUCCUCAAAAAAGUCAGCAGUGAAUGAGUCCGACUCGAGUUCGUGAGUCAAAGGCAUGGCAAGAGAGCAAGUUCGACUCGCGAACGAUCCACAAGUGAAGGAUCGAUCCUUUAACGCCAGUACUGUUGCGAGACUCGUACUUGGCGGCUCACGAGCAACAUAUAGAAAAAGGUUGCCCAUCACUCCCUCGCUCCUUUUUGAAGGCCCACCGCUCCCCCUUUCUUUAAGUAUCUAUCCCGGCUUGCAUUUUGGGGCGAGUACUACAGUUCCUCCAUAAUCACACAGAACGCCCAGCUUCGCAGAGCUGCUCUCUCCCCAGUCCACAGCAAGGUGUGGAAUCUGGAUCUACUGUGUGUUCUGACUCUAUUGGAUCAAGUCAGAUACUAAGCCUUCUACUACUACUACUACUUAGGAGAUCAAAUGCUAUAUUUCAGAGAUUGGACUCUCUUACUGUGUUUUUUCAGGGUUGUUCCCGAGCCAGGUUCCCUGGAUCCAUUCUUACCUAAAUGGAUGAAUGAAGAAGGGGGCGAGCAGAUACGACGACCACACACACUUCUUUUUAGCCGAAUAAAGCCGGAUCUACUACACGGCUAGGAUCAGAGAAAGAUUGAGAAAGCAAGAUCAAACCUACUCUACUGUCGAUUCUAAAGGUAAACAACCCCCGAAGACUUUAUCAAUGAAUGGAUCAAAGAAGUUUAUCUAUCUAAGUCAUCGUAUAUAAGGGAAGAAGCCCGCCCCUGAUCAAAGAAUGAAGAAGCUAGCCCGGGUAGACUUUAAGAGCUCUUGCUCUGCCUAUCCGUCUCGCUCCGUCUUGGAGGUCAUAGAAAGAUACGAAGGGCCUACUCUUUUAAUUAAAGCCCUACUCUUAAUAAUAGUGAAAGCCCCCUACUCUUACCUACUUUGACUCAUAUCUUCAGUAUACCUCAAUACAAGACAAGCACUGGAAAGGAUAUUCAAGAAAAACCGGGCUAUCGCCCUAUCUAAGCGGGUUUCCCCUCUCCCUCCACACCGCAUUCGAAUUAUAGAUUGAGUUGAUCUCAUUAACCAAUUCUAGUGUCCAAAAACUACCAUGAAAUCUCCUGCGAAAACAAACCAUUCAUGAAACUCAUGAAGGAGCAUGCGGUGGUCACAUUAAUGGACAUGCGCUAGCUAAGAGAACUUCUUAAGUUAGGGUACUAUUGGCUGGCUUACUAUGGGGAAGGGGAGAAGGCAAGCCGCGUAUGGAUUGAUCCCUAAUUCAGUUCAUUUUUCGUGGUUUUCUUUCCAUCUCACAACUUCCAUUUCUUGAACCGACCUUGCCCGCUGGAGGUAUGAUUCCGAUCUUUGAAUCGAAUUGGAUUUUUUGUCUUAAAGUGAGGGCGAUGAGUGGGGAAGGAAGCUGACGAUUUUAUUAGUGUGUAAGGUGGCCCCGAGAGGUGAACCAAAGCCAACCGUUUCGAGACCAGGGAGCUUUAACAGUUUCUACUUAAACUAUGUGUGCAGCUAUGUGUUCAGAUUAUGCUAUUUUAUUAGUAGCUUUCGGUCUCGAUUCGCCCUUACCUCGGAGGGAUCAACUACUUCGCUUAGGCAAAAGAUUGAAAAAGUCUGUAUCUGUCUACAUGUGCCUCCGUCUAUGUUACCCCUUCCCCGGAAAGGAGAUUAUAUGUUUAGUAAAAAAACGAGAAUAAAAAAUCAAAAAGAAAGAAGAGAAAGAACUGGGAGUUGGCGCCUACAUAACAGGUAGCUUGCUUACCAAGCCAUCUUGGCAAGCUCCUACAAUUCUCUUAUUACUCUUGACUUGACUUAUUAAUAAGAAAACUACUCACUAACAAAAUGAAAGACGAUCUAGAAUCUACCCAAGAAGAUAGAGAGUCCCACAUACGAGAAAAGGUCACAAAUGGAGUUGAACCAAGUAACAUUGCAAAGGCAUAAUGAUAGUAGGGUCGGGAUAUCCCCGCCCUCCGAACCGGACGUGAGGGUCUCCCCUCAUCCGGCUCUCCGCAGGGGAAUCUCCACUCACUGCUUCCCCUAAUAUCCUCCCUUUACCACAUCAUGGGGGUUUACAGGAGAUCCCAGAGACUCGCUCGGAAAGGCUGCUAUACCAAACAUUAUUACUUAACUACAAAGAAAGAAAAGACUAUAGUAGUCACUAGACUGACUAUAGUAGUCCGUCCGGCUGCUCUUGCUUAAAUCAUUACUCUUCAUUCUCCUGUGCUCUAGCAAUUGCGCUCCCUAGACCACUACCAUUUAGUUAGGUAGGGACAAUCAAUCCAUAGUUACGGGAAUAACGGAAUACAUGGGGAUAAUUUUUUUAGAAAAAUGCAGAUUUUCUAUGAAAUCCUUUCUUUCCAUAGAUGUAUCUGGUCUGAGACGGUACAGUACUCUACGAGAGGAAUGCAAUGGGAUGGAUGGUAGAGGGCUGCCUGCGCCCAAAAGCGAUGAUUCACUUGUCCCCUUGUCUAUAGGGACCUUGUGGCAUACAACCGCCACGACUCCUGCGUUAUAGCCGCCCCUUUCUCUCUUUCUUUUGACUGCCUUGUGGACGGACGAAAGAAGGGAAGUUACAGAAGGGGGCAGUGAAGGCUCGCCAAGUAGACAGCAAGCCCCCACCCCGUCAGUCCUGUGUUGCCGUAGCGUGCCCUACUUCAAUAAGGUAUUACCUCGCCGAUUUUAAAGGGGAUGGGAUUGGAUUCAUUCACUUGCAUUCCUGCUAGCACUAAAAAAGCUCCGGUCUUAACGCCCCUACAGAAGCUGUGCAGCCUUUCCUUAGGUUCGUAGAGUCGGGUUUCCCGUUUACCCACAACGGAGGAGCCGCCCCCACCAACCAAAGCAGGUAGGCGGCCACGGUUCAUAACGCACUCUUCGCACAACAGAUCCACUUUGAAGUUGACUUAUUCGCUCGGCCAAUCGUCGGAAUGUGUAUGAGAUACCAUAAGGGCCCAAUAUCUCAAUAGCACCCUUGUCUAAAGCUUCGAAUGAGACUGAAUAUCCGAAACGCAGGAACGAUCUGACUAGAAAGUCAUUCAAAACUUGAUCGAAGAACCAGCGUUUAUUGAAGAAGCUAUAGAGUCGAUUACAAAAAGUACUAGUUUGAAAGGCUCGUUGGAAUUGAUCCGCUACGAGAUUUACAUUAUACGCUAGAGAAGCACCUGAAGUACUAAACAGAAUAGGUAUUAGUUUUGUAAUGGUUGGGGCAGCAAACUCGGAUUCGGCAAGAAUCUCAUUUUUUGGUAGUACGAAGGGGGAAUUGGCCCAAAAAUUGGAUAGGGGUAAAGACGCAGCCGGGUGCCGGCGGCUUAUUCAAGUGCCCCCCGAACCGCGCGAAAUGGUCGCCUAUUACACGGCUCACAAACUCUGC
rnacentral:lncRNA from 1 species